rnacentral:lncRNA from 1 species
UCUGCUAGAGGUUCUCUCUGUGCUCGGAUUCGGGCCCCUCUAGAGACAACGGGUGUGCAUGCUGCUCUCUCCGCCUCUUCCAAGUUCCUCCUCAAUGGAGUGCCUGGCCCGAUCAUUCCGCAUGCUAGGAGGCUUCGGCAAGGCGAUCCCCUCUCCCCGAUGCUCUUCAUCAUCGCCAUUGACCCGCUUCACCACAUCCUCCAUCGCGCGACGGAGGAGGGCAUCCUCAAGCCUUUCCGGGCGGCUAAUGUUCAGAUGCGCGUCCCCCUCUAUGCGGAUGAUGCUGGCAUUUUCUCUAGCCCCCACGUGGACGAUCUACGGGCGAUCAACUCCCUCCUUCGGAUUUUUGGUGAUGCCUCGGGCCUCCGCACCAACCUUGAGAAGUCGGAGAUCUUCCCCAGUGGCUGUGACCCGGGGCAGAUUGCGGCAAUGCUGGACGUUUUCCCGGCUAAGCUUGGCUCCUUCCCCUACACUUAUCUUGGCCUCCCUCUCUCGGCGACCCGCCUUAAAGGGGCUGCUUUCUAGCCCCUAAUCGACAAGGUGGCCUCGCGCCUCGCGGGGUGGAAGGGCACUCACUCACCAAGGCUGGCCGCGCCCUCCUCGCUAAAUCGGUCCUCUCCGCCAUGGUGACCUACCACCUCACGACGUUCAACAUCCCGGGCUGGGUGUUGCGACGUAUAAACAAACUCAUUAGGACUUUCAUCUGGAUGCGCCGCCGCUCGACGGAUCAGGACGCGUCCUCCCUUCCCCUGGUCAACUGGGGCACGGUCUAUCGGCCUCGUGCCCUCGGUGGUUUGGGGAUCCUGGAUCUUGCCCGCGUGGGACGGGCUCUGCGUCUGCGUUGGCUGUGGUUUGAUUGGGUUGACCCGAAUAGGCCAUGGCAUGGCUUGGCUCUGCCCUGCGACUCCACGGACAGAGAGCUCUUCUGGGCCUCGACGAAGAUCUCCCUCGGAGAUGGCGCUAGUCCCUUUUCAGGUUGGACGCUUGGCUUCCCGAUGGCUCCUCCCCUCGUCAGCGUUGGCUGGCCCUCUUUGCCAUCGCUACUAGGUAACUCCGCACCGUCCAAAAGGAACUUUCGUCGGCCACUUGGAUUCGCUCCCUCCAAUGUAUCACCACUUUUGAGCAACUUCAGCAAUUCGUCCACAUGUGGGACUACAUUCGGUCCGUCCAGCUCUCCCCCCGGGAAGACACCAUCACCUGGCGAUGGACCUCCUCUGGUGAUUACUCGGCGGCCUCUGCGUAUCAAGCCCAAUUCCUGGGGUCCUCCCCCCCCCCCUUCUCGGUCGACAAGAUUUGGAAGGCUCACGCGGAACCCAAAUGCAAAUGCUUUGCGUCGACCAUCGCUCACGGGAAGAUUCUUACGGCGGACAACCUUGCGCUCCGGGGGUGGACGCACAACCCCAUUUGCCAGCUCUGCAAGAUUCACCCCGAGACCAUCGCCCACAUUUGCCACGAUUGCUGCUUCUCCCGGGAUGUUCAUAGCUCCAUCUGUAGAUGGAGCCAUUCCGCACCCCCUUCCAACCCCUUCCCGACUGGCACCCUACUGGAUCACUGGGACGCCGCCAUCUCCGGCCUUCCGAAGAAAGAAAAGCGCUCCUUUAGCGGACGCCUGAUUUACACUUGGUGGGGUAUCUGGAAGGAGCGAAACCGCAGGGUCUUCCAAGGCAAGGCUCUCACAGCGCUAGAAGUUGCUCACCUCAUUUGGGAGGAGAUCCAAUGUAGAACUAGGGCGUGCUCUCACGACCCGGGAGAUUAGUCUCUUCAGCGCCUCUUUUUCCUUUCUUUUUGCUCCCCCCCCCCCCUCUUAACCAGGGAUCCCUCUCGGACUCCUUUGUACGGUUACUUCUUUCUUCUAAUCGAAUGACGGAAAUCGACUGUCUUUACCCCUAAAAAAAAAUCUGAUCCAUAGAGUUUAUAAGUAGGUGUUGACUUGGACACAAAAGGUUUUGGUUUUCUGAUUUACUCAAUAAAAAAUGCUGCGAAAAACUUUUCACAUCUCUCAAGGUUGAAAGCCUGGACGUUGACAAAUGACAAAGGCUUAGCUACAACAUGGUUCAGAAUAUGCUCUCAUUUUAUCACCACAUGGUUCAACCAAAACGACGUUCAUGCUAAAUUAACCCUGGUUUAUAUGUCCCUACUUUUUCAAGACCUUCCACCCAAAGGACCACAGAUCGUCCAUCCUCAUCAACAGAGACGGGUCCAACUCUCUCACUGUCUCACGUUCUCCCUUUCGUUGUUCACUUGUUCGGUAACAAAACAUAUAUACUCCGUAUUUUUUUUAUAGAACAUGCAAGGAAGAGAGCUGUGUUGCAUGUGCUUACAUAAAUGAAAGUGGUUACAGAAAGUGGUACUGUAAGAAACUUUCGACUGACAACGAACUUCGCUUAUGCACUGUUCUUUUGGAUGUGGAUCUGCUCCGUUUUAAAAUGGAAAUGCUUUCAUGGGAUCCUCAUCGGGAUCAGUUCAUCAAUAAACAAAGCCAUGCAAGAGGGGUUGCCAACUGGAGCCCCAAAUCAUCUUAUGUCCGGAGGCCGUACAUUCAUGUUCUUGACCUGCGGUUUCCCCGUUGGAUCUCUGACAUUUACUGCUGCACGAACUAGUGCUCCUCUUGGAUCAUCGUGUAUACUCUGGGUCUGGAAUUCUGGUCACCGUACAGGACAGCCAUCUAUGUGUAGCAUUUUGCCCCUUGUUCCAAAUACCACGAUUUCGCACGGUGUCCCAGGACCCAAACUAUUUCCCACGGAAAAUCAGGUAGAACUCUCCCCGUUCUAAGCAAGUGCUGGUGGUCUCCCUGACAGUUUUGACCUUUCUUCCAAUUCCGAUUCCGUUAGUGGAAUGGUGGCGCUGACACAUUAAGCCCUUGGUAGUACAUUGAUGUCUCGAUCUGAUGAAAAGGUUCAUUCCUGCAAUUAAUUUCCAGUUACCAUAUGGACCUGGCCAAGUGUCAGAAUCAGACGCACGAGGGGCCAAAAUGUGCAGAAAUUAAGUGCUGCCAGGAUAUGCCAUGCCGGCCGGAGCCGAAGUGAGUGCUGCAAUGGAAUAUAGGCACGACAUACAGCAAAGGAACAAGAGGUGAGAAACAACGAAAACGGCCUAAAAAUAUUUUCGCCCCUCUCUCUUUCUUUUUGCCCGGUCGGGGGACCUUUCUUUCUACUCCCAACAAGUCGAAUCUGCACAUGUUUUUUCCUGCUGAAAUUCGAAAAGUUAAGAUGAUGACGGACGAAGAAAAGAGAAGGAAACAGAGUCCGCAGGAUGAGCCGAGGCUGUCACAAAAGAAGGAUCACAUUCCACCAGUGAUCUCGUUGUCGUUCCCCCGCGUGAAACGUGCAGUGUUUUGCCUGUGGACUUGAGUCUCUUGUCAACGGAGUCUCUCGCCACCUCAGAAAAGGAAACGGCUGUACACUUCACAACAGUCACUGACUCACUGGCCGAUCCCCACCUGGUGUGGCUCACUGACCCAGUGGAUCUACUACGGCCCAGAUCGAGCCGCGCAGACAGGCCGGCACGAAAGGACCAAAAAUUACCCGUCGAGCCAAGGCCCAAGGUAAACAACCACAUGCCUGAUUGCCAUGUCACCUCUCGUUCGUCCACCCCUUUUUUUUACCUUAUCUACCCCCCAAUAAGCAAGUGUGAGCCCCUACAAACAAACCUCACCACCACUACUUGCCACCACUUCUUCUCUUCGAUCGAUCUUCCUCACGAGCUAGUCACCACCCCACCACGGCCAUAAUUCACGUUCCCGUAUAUGCAUCUCACCAACCACCAACCAGGUGACCAAAACUCAUCACGCGCAUAUGGUUAACUACCAAAGCCCAGCUACAGCUAGCCUGCCCUGUCUGGCCGUGAAUCCAGAUCCCAAAAUUGCAAGCGACGAUCGAGAGAGGAAAACAAAACGAAAACUUAAUCAGGCCAGUAAUUAACCCGUCAUCUGUCUCCAUCCACACUGCUAUAUAAGCCUGCGCCGUUGUACUCUACCUAGGCUCGUCCAGUCCAGACAGCCGCGUCAGCACUCGCUCCAAUAAGUCCUAGCUAGCAAGAUCCAUCCAUCCAGCCAGCCGGCCGGCCUGCCACUCGGUCCGGAUGGAGGGCGCCGGCGAGGAGAUGGCGCGGCGGCUGUGGGCGGAGCUCCCGGUGCGCGUGGACUGGGCGGCCGUGGCGGCGCAAUGCGCGUACGCGUGGGCGCAGGCCAGGGCGUUCCUGGUGGUGCCCGCCGUGCGGCUCCUCGUGUUCGUCUCGCUCGCCAUGACCGUCAUGAUACUGCUCGAGAAGCUCUUCGUGGCCGCCGUCUUCCUCUCCGUGAAAACCUUCCGCCGCCUCCGCCCCGAGCGCCGCUACCGCUGGCAGCAAAUAACCGCCGGAGACGGAGAAGACGAGGAGGCUGGCCUCAGCGGCAGCGCCGCGUUCCCCGUCGUGCUCGUGCAGAUCCCCAUGUACAACGAGCGCGAGGUGAGUGAUUUGCUGAGAAAUGUUGGCCUUGCUUGAUGUUGAUGCUGCUGUUGCCGUGUGUGGUUCGAUCGUGGGAUUGAUUUUGUUCCUUUGUUUGGGCGUUGUUGGAUGGGGAAUUGGAAGGUGUACAAGCUGUCGAUCGGGGCGGCAUGUGCGCUGGAGUGGCCGUCCGACCGCGUCGUGAUACAGGUGCUGGACGACUCCACGGACCCCGUUGUGAAGGUAAUUAAGCACAGCCCACCGAUUCUCUCAUGCACAUUCUUAAUUUCUUCCCAUAUGCAUACAUAUUACACGCACUGCGGUCAAUCAUUCGCUUCGUUUUGUUCGCACGUUAAUUACAUGCAACAUUUACUCUUGUGGUCUGUGCAUGCGCGUCGUUUCGUGGGUUGGCAUUUGGCAUGUGCCAACCCGGCGCUGGCAAGCGGCAGCAAUGACAAUGGAUGCUUCCAGCUAACUAGUACUCGGGAGUAGCCUUUAACCGUAGUAGUAGUGCUGGGUCUGCUGGCCGGCCGCCGUGUGGUUCAGCGGAAUGCUCGACUGUUUUGUUUGGUACUGUAGUAGUAAAACCAGUGACAUGUGUGGUCCUGGCUAACGCGUGCGUCCACAGACGUUACCUUGGACCGUCGAGCUCGAUCGUCUGUCAUUUUUUUUUAUCUCGCUCUCGCCCACGUAGACAUCACUCUUGAGCACUGGCCGGAAAGUGGACACGAUGAAGUGGCGCGCGCGGCCACAUGGACGCCCGUCCGAAGAGAAUCCUCCAUUCCUCACUGUCUCGCGACGCCAACCAAAACCGGUCCGGCAAUCCAGCAUGGCGCCAAUGGCGCGCACGGCCCGAGGACGGACCCACCCGCCCGGCGUGACAGACGGCUCUAGCGCCUGGCCUAGCGACCCGGCCCACGGAGACGCCAACCUGGGACGGCCAUUGUUAAUUGAGCUCGCAGCGCCACGCUCCGCUUGCCGGCUCAGAAACGACCCGGUCAAUCUGGUCGUUGCGAUUCUCAGUAGUGGGCAGCAUUGGGAGUGUUGACCGCUAUGACAUGGUGGGGCCAUACCGGGUCCCACCUGUCAGGGACGGUAUUUCGAGUGGAAUUACAGUUCCUCUCCCCACGGAGCCUAGCACUUUGUCGUUGAAUUAUGGGGCGUGCGCGACCGGUCGAUUCUGAUUUGAUCGCGGCAGGAUCCAGACGAUUAAACAGCUCCAGGCUUCUUAUGCGGUUUUUCAGAAACUAGCAUUGCUAGCAAAAGAAUCCAUGCGAUGUUACGAAACAACGGAAAGUGUAUCAAUCACGAGCCGGUGGAGGCGAAGUCUGGACAUUGAUUUUUCGAUUGGAUUGAUUUCCGUACUGAGAUUGAUACCGAGAUUUUUUGUUUGGGUUCGGAUUGAUUUCCAUACUGAGAUGGAUAUGAAGAAUUUUAGAUUUCAUGCUAAGAAGCUUGAUUUAUUUUAGGACUGUUCGUAUUAUGUUGUGACAAAUUUGGACCGUACGAUAACUUUCGAUAAAUCUAAACCGUAGAAUUUCUGCUACUGAAAUCGUGAAUAAGACGGGAGGAAAAAAAAAGACAGUGACAUAUUGAUUGUAAUUUUAACGAAAUUUACCGUAACAGCAGAUUAGCAGUACUACGUACUAAUACGCCAGUAGCCAAGCCAUGCCAGUAGCAGAGCAGGAGUGGCAUUAUUGGUCACUGACCGCCGGCCGGCCGGGACAGGCUGGUGGAUCUACUGGCCGGCCGGACUGCAAGGUGAUACGCGAUGCAGAUGUUCUGUUUUCUUCUUCUUCUCUCCAAUAUAAUCCCGGCCACAGAUGAUGUGGGUGUCGUGCGUGUCCAUAUUAGGCCUACCUGCCAAUGUGCAGGAUAACUUAUGCAGAUUCGCGGCAGCAACGUGCCACCAGCAAGAAUGUGCGAGAGCAAGCGCAGAGAAUCAGGUGCUGGAGCAUUUGUCUGUGGUCCAUGUAACCCGGUGGUAGUAGCUCUUGCCUCUUGGACAGUUGGACGCCAUUUUUCCCUUUCCUUUCUGAGAUGCAGGCUUGGCGGCGUGGUGGCGACCUUCUCCAUUUUAAGUUCUCUGUCGUCGUUUGAUCUUCGAAGCAGCAGGAUGGCACCUUUUUUCUUUCUGAUUAUGAUUAGGCUGAUGGGGCCAUGGGAGUAGGCCACACUAAAGACACCUUUAUUUAGGACAUGGUUAGAGAAUUCUAGGGUCCUUAAAGUUUUCCUGAUAGUACUAGCUAGUAGGAGUAUUAUGCAUGCAUGGUUGUCUCCACCAACGGGCUCACGGGCCAUGAGGCACACAUGUUCCCAAUUAUUCUAUGGUGUACCUUAGCUAGGAGUGGAUCAGAGAUGGGAAUUAACUAAAAAUGGCUGGUCGUGUAGACAUGUGACAUGGAACGUGAGGAAGCGUGACAGUGGGUUAGGUAGCUGGAUCUUGAUUGGCGAGUGGUUCCAGGGUCAGCGACAAUGCAUCGUCCGUCCGUCUCGCCAUUUAAUCCGUAGGAUUAAGAAGUGGAGAAAUAAAAAAAUUGAGGAAUUUUCACCAAAGAACAUUUUACUAUGCUGGAGGGAAAAUAUAGAAGUAUGUACGGAGUAUAUUUGUAAGAGAUCUUUCACAGCACAAUCAUUCCAGGAAUAAAGCUUCGUGCCGUCAGAUCCGGUAGCCACAGCUGCUAUGCUCGUGGCUCGUGCGGCGUCCUGAAAUCACGGCAGACUUGGCUACGAGUCCACGUAGGACGGUAGGAGUACUAGCCUCGUAGGAUGCAGAGGAAGUCGUGCGAGGAGGCACACCUUCUUCCCGGACCCCGGCCGGAUGGUUAAUUACCACAUGCCAUCCCGUGCCCGCGUGCUUGAGCUUUUCCCGAGUUGUUCAGGUUGUCUGCAUCGUUUCGAUGCUUUUGAACCCCACUCCUUGAUGUUGGGUUCAGAAUAAUACUUUAGUGUUAUCAGAACUACAGUUAAUGCGAUGUAGAGAACAAAAAAAAAAGCGACGGGAGCUCGUCUUCAGCCUUCCCGGAAUACAUUCGUAGGCAUAGUAAAAGGACCUAAAGGAGUCCAGUAGUCGAUAAAAAAGGGAGUCCAGUAGUAAGCACAUUCUUUUUGUCGCAACUUUUGAAUAACUUUUCAUGUGCUGGCAUAUGGGCUUUUGGGCUCUACUUGUAUACUGGGCUGGAUGUGGCCUGUAUUUAGGAUGCCAUAGCCCCAGACUCCCCACUGAUAUCGCGGCUUUUUCUGAAACUAAAAAUAAAUGGACCGUCGGGGUCCCACUGCAUACGGCAGAAGGACGGCGGCGUUCGCCGGCUUCUAGGCAUGGCCGGGGGUAGAAUGGUGGCGAUUGUGGGCGAGCCGGAGCGGGUACGCUGAGAGGAAUAGGGGCGGCGAGGGUACUACAUGAAGGCGCCGGAGGAAUAGUAGGGUUUCUACGGCGAGGUACUAACCAAUGCGUCUCAUGGAUCUGACCUAUCCGAUAUUUGAUUCAUCAGUUGAUUAGCUUCUCUUGGAAUGUGGUAGCUGGUAGGAGAAAUGUUCGGAUCGGGGAAUAUUUUGGUUAGUUUAUUCGCAAUUUCUAUCGGUGCAUAUGUGUGAAAUGUGAUUAGGUUGGUGAACGCGAUUCUGGGUUUCAUUUCACAUUCUCACUUAAGGAUUUUUUUUCAUAUUUUUUUAGCGAGGCUCUUUUAUUUUAUUUACUUUCCCGUUGUUAGAAGCACAGAUAGUAGUAGAUGCAAAUUACGCCUUAGAAGGCAUGAAUGUUUUGCUAGAUAGGUUUGGACAGCAAAGCGCCCAACUGACCAUAAUACUAUCUGUAAGCUAAUGAUUAAACCUUGUAACCGAAUUUUAACAUUAUUUCCCCUUUGUUUUCUUUUUGUUUUUUAGGACUUGGUGGAGAUAGAGUGCCAGAGAUGGAAGGGCAAAGGUGUGAACAUCAAGUACGAGGUCAGAGGGAACCGGAAGGGGUAUAAAGCCGGUGCGCUUAAGGAAGGAUUGAAGCACGACUAUGUCCAAGAAUGCGAGUACAUUGCCAUGUUCGAUGCUGAUUUUCAGCCAGAGUCUGAUUUUCUCAUGAGAACCGUCCCAUUCCUUGUGCACAACCCGGAAAUCGCCCUAGUUCAGACUCGCUGGAAAUUUGGUCAGUUUACAUUUUCUUUGUUGUUGUCAGCCAAUAUAUCCCAUAACUCCACGCGAAAGAUAUCACUUUAAAUCAAUUGGAUCUAAGUCUCUUUUUACUGCUUUUGCAGUUAAUUCUGAUGAAUGCUUACUGACAAGAUUCCAAGAAAUGUCACUGGACUACCAUUUCAAGUUUGAGCAAGAGGCUGGGUCUGUAGUAUACUCGUUUUUCGGUUUCAACGGUACGUAUUUCACCGAUAUUUAGCUCAGGCAUCCAAAUCAGCACACUAAGUACUUACAAUAUCGAUUUUUCAUCUUCCAGGGACAGCUGGUGUCUGGAGGAUCUCGGCCAUUGACGAUGCUGGGGGCUGGAAGGACCGGACAACUGUCGAGGACAUGGACCUGGCUGUUCGCACAGCAUUGCAGGGCUGGAAAUUUGUUUACGUCGGUGACGUAAAAGUACGUCAAUUCUCCUUUACCUGAUUUUCAGCAAUAAGAGAUCUUGUCAAGAAACAAGCCUAAUGGUCCACAUAAUAUUGUGUUUCUAUCUGGUUAGGUCAGGAGUGAGCUACCAAGCACAUUCAAGGCAUACCGAUUUCAGCAGCACAGAUGGUCUUGUGGACCUGCAAACCUGUUCAAGAAAAUGUUGAUGGAGAUCUUAGAAAACAAGGUUAGUGUGUUGAUACAGAUGUCUUUGGCAAAUGCAUCAUAUCGUCUUAUUGCCUGACACGGUUUCCCUUUCUCUGUGUAGAAAGUGUCAUUUUGGAACAAAAUCCACCUCUUGUAUGAUUUCUUCUUUGUCGGGAAGAUUGCUGCUCAUACAGUGACAUUCAUGUACUAUUGCUUUGCGAUCCCAUUGUCAGUUUUCUUCCCUGAGAUUCAGAUUCCUCUUUGGGGGGUGGUUUAUGUUCCAUCAGUUAUUACCCUCUGCAAGGCUCUUGGAUCACCAAGGUAACAUGCGUUUUGAAAUUAAGUUUCAGAAUGACAGUAGCACUAUUACAUUCAGUUAACACCAGAAAAUCUUCUCUCUUUCAGUUCAUUUCAUCUGGUGAUCCUCUGGGUCCUUUUUGAGAAUGUUAUGUCGUUGCACCGGAUAAAAGCAGCAGUAACUGGUCUUCUAGAUGCUGGACGAGUCAAUGAGUGGGUUGUCACUGAGAAAUUGGGAGACGCCAGCAAGAUAAAGCCAACCAUUGAUGUAUUAGAUGCUGUGAAAGUGAUAGAUGUCGAGCUAACAACGCCCCUAGUACCUAAGCUCAAGAAAAGGCGAACAAGAUUCUGGGAGAAGUAAGCAAAGUUAUUAUCAGGAAUAUUCAAAGCUAAUACGAAAUAUACUUUUGAAAAUAAUAAAUGCCACUAGUCCACUACUGAUUUGUGCGAAUAUAGAUCCUGCAAAUGAGGCAUUAUGUUUUCUAGUUUUGUCAAAUGCUGAUAUGUGUUAUGUGUUCUUUGGAUCAGGUACAACUGCUCAGAAAUUUUUGUUGGAACCUGCAUAAUUAUCAGUGGUUGCUAUGAUAUGCUUUAUGCAAAGAAGGGAUACUACAUCUACCUUUUCAUUCAAGGGAUAGCAUUCCUCGUUGUUGGUUUUGAGUAUAUCGGCACGCGCCCUCCUCGCACUGAAUAAGCUGCCACGAGCUGAUAUGCAUGGUCAUGAUAAACUGCAGCAAGUAAAGCCCCUCUCCUGCACAUAUCAACCUCAGAACAUAAUGAUAUACUGAGCAUUCUUCCCAUCAGUCUUGGUCAGAUUUGAUCCAACUAUUCUUUACUUCCGAGAAGGCUAUUCAUGUAGCAUCGCCGUUUUUCUGAUAGUAACAUUAUUUACUGAAGCACCAUGACAGAAAGAUUGGUGCAGCAGCAUUCCAUUCAGAUCCUGUAGAAAUGCAUCCCAGGCCUGCAAGAAUAACAGCAGCUGUAAAUGAAAUAACAUGCUUUGCCAAUUACUGUAGAUUCUCCAAAAUUAGCCUACCCUUCCAUGCAAAUGUACUGAUAUAGAUUGUUCAGACAUGUAAUAGAGGACCAUUAGCACCUCCAGUCUAUAUCCUGUGUACUAGGCCAAAACUUGUAAAUGUACAUUUUUGCUGAACACCAAUAAUUCUGUCAAAUUCACAGAUUUCGAAGUGCACUAUGAAAUAUAGCAUGAAGCCCUACAAUAAAAGAAAUAUUUGUGGCUUUACAUUUUUACUUGAUGUGGCACAUGAACUAGUGGAUCUAUAGCACAAAUUGAGAACAAUAAUGAUUUCCCUUUGUAUUACCUGUGGGUAGAACAUCGUAGGGUAGAACUGAUACCAACCUUUCACGUCAUGCUUCCAACAUCGAAACAGUAUUGCAGAUUGUCAUGAAAAAUCUGAAACAAAUUGACAACAGUGAUACACUACAAAUUUAGCACGUGGGGAAAUAAAAAUCUAAUUUGAUCCCAGUCAAAAUAAAUCCGAAAUUAAAAGAGAAAGUGGAGCCACUAAUUCAUUAUGUCAAUCUUUUGGAUGUUGUACGUGUUGUUUGGUACCUUAUCUAGCGAAACUAUUUUGGAUUUUUAUUUUCAGCUACACUAGCUGUGAAAUAUAAUAAUAGGAGAAAGUGAAGAUUUUUUUUCUUUGUGACACUCCAAAUUUGAAAAUAUAGCCCAGUGAUACUAUUUUUUUUUCCUUCUUGUCAAUAUAUUUUGAAGGCUGUUUCAGGGGUUUUACGGGUCGAAAAAAGGCCCUAGGUUUAUAUAUAGCACACGUAAGUUUCCUAAAAAUAAGGCCCACGUGACUACGUGAGGAUCAAAAUGUAGUUUUAGCAGAAGUUCUCCACAGGGAUUAAUGCAAUGAUUCUUUUCCAAAUCUCAAGCUAAACUCACAGAUUAACAGGCUUUGGACUGAAAAGUAACAAAUCUAACUUGCUGAUCUAAUGUUUUUGGGGUUUUUGGUUAACUGUAGCAAAUCUGACAACAAGGUACCGACUAACUGAAGAAACAGACACAAACAAGAAGAUUUAACUGAAGAAAAUCAAUACUAGCAGAGCAGAUCUUUCUGCGACGAAUUUAGAGUUUAGACAGCAAGGGUUUUAGAGAAAGAAGAUGAAAUAGAGAGAUCUAGAGAAAACAAGCAGCAAAACUAAUAGACAAGGAGAGAGUUUCAGAUCAAAGAGUAAAACAUCACAGGCAGAUCAUGACUCUACUGCACAACAAACUGACAGAAAUUUAAAGAACUAGAGCACAAACUUAAAAGGAAAACAGAGCACAGCACAACUUCAGCAAUAUUAAAGAUUUCUCACGACUAGAUUUGGUUAUAGACAAGCUUAAUUAUACGAAUUCAACAACAGAUUACAGAUCUUCAGCAAGAACAGAUGGGCACUAGAGAGUGUGAAGAAUAGGGGCAGGGAUUACAGAAUUUCUUUCAGCAGAAGAGAAUUGGAGAAAAGGAAGAUGAUGAUCUAGCUUAACAACUCUCAGUUUCUGGUGAAGAAGCAUCCAAAUCACCCAAGAACAGCCCUGGAUCUCGCCAGUUUCCUCUCUUCUUCCUCUCUCUUCUCCAUGUUUCUGGAUCCACCCCCUUUUCUUGUGUCCCCCGAAAAGAAAGAGGUUCGCCACCUUUUACGCUCUUCUUCUUGCUCUCUCCCGGAGGCUGUCACCAUCACCCUUUGAAUUAUGCAACCAGCCCCCUCCUUUUGCUAGCUUGACACCGAAGAAGAUCCCGGCUUAUGUCUCCUUUUUGCUUGAUCACUCCUCUUCCUUUUUCCUUUAUUUGCUUUUUGCUUUUCUUCUCCCUGCUUCUUUGCCCUUGCAUCUUGAUGUAGUAGGAAGUAGAUUUUUGGUGCCUUUUCGCACCCUUUUCUGCAAAAAGCAUGCAGUGCUGUAAAAAGACAGAUUUGGCCCUUUUCGGCUAAAUUCAUUCAAAUUUAAAUUCAAAUGAUUCAAAUUCAAGUAUGAUCAGCACCAAAUAUGUUUGAAAUUGAUUUAAAAAUAUGUACUGAUCACACCCCCAUACCUGAAUUUUUGCUUGUCCUCAAGUAAACGGAGUUGGCUCUCGAACACAAUUUAAUUAGUAAUGCAAAGCAGUAAACAGAUAAGAGUAAUUGACAAAUGCAGUUCUCUGUCAGAGUGUUCAUACAAAUUAUGUACCGGACGUUUCAAUGAUUUCUAGGCAUCAACAGUGACGUAGGGUGAAUGAGUAGAAACAAAUGAUAUCUAAAUCUUAGUACUGAGCUGAGCUACUAAAGUUCAAACAGUAAUGAAAACUUCAGGAAAGUGCGGCAUAGCCACUUAUUUGCAGAAACUGUGACUUUUGUCACUUAUUGAAAGCUGAAAACUGUGGCAAAGCCACUUAUUGAAUUUGUAAAAAAAUAAAUAGAACAGAACUGUGGCACAGCCACUUAUUGCAAGAAAUGUGACUUUUGUCACUUAUUCGAGGAAGAAUAAACACAUGUGGACCUUGCCACUUAUUGAAUUUCAGAGAAACCAGAAAGUAAACUGAAGUAACAAUGCUCAAUGACACAUGUUUCAGAAAUCACAAUCCCAAGAUCAUGACUCCUACUUAGUGACACUAAACAACUAGCUCAGGAAAGUACUAAAAAUUUAGAACACAAAGUUUCCGAAUCGUUUCACAAAAGGUCAGAAAUGAUGCACCAAGAAUCAUUGAAAUUUAAGAUAAACAGUUUAAAUGAUCAUUCUGGACAGAGAACUAACUUUUGCAACUCUUAUUAAAUGUUUUUUGACAAAGCAUGACCAUGAACAGUGCCGAGACAAAAGUUUUAAAGUAUAGAUUCAUGUUAUCUUUUCAAAAUUAUCAAGAUGGGUAAAUUUGAAUCAUGAGCACAUAAUAUUUAUACCAAAAGUAUCAAAACAAAUGGAGACUGAAACAGCUCACCAAAUUUCUGAACAUUAAUUCCUUGACUUGAUAGAAUUGGUUGCAAAAAUUGCCUGCUCUCACUUCUUACUUUACCCUUUCUGUUCUACCUUAAUAUACAUCUUUCCUGAUUCUCCUGCUACUGAUUCAUGCAUAAACCCUACGAAAAGAAAAGAUAAACAAAAAUAAAACAAACCUCAUAGAGGCAAAGGAAGGUUACUGAAUUUUAUUUCCAGGUUGCCUCCUGGUAGCGGUCUUUUAUGGUCAUUAGCUUGACCCCUGGUUUGAAAUGACUCUAAGAUGCUUGACCACUGUCAAGGCUUGCCUGCCUCAACUCUGCUUCUUCUGGUCUUGCAUCAAAAUCAAGAAUAGGAUCUCCAUUGAAAUAAUGCUUCACUCUUUGGCCAUUAACCGAGAAUAUUCCUUCUGAAGGACUCUGUACUUCCAAAGCACCAUUUCCAAACACCUUCUUUACAACACAUGGACCAUACCAUCUUGAUUUAAAUUUCCCAAGAAACAGGUGGAAUCUUGAAUCAUAGACAAGCACCAGCUGUCCAGGACUGAACUCUCUUCUUUGAAUAUGCCUGUUAUGCCACUGCUUGGUCUUUUCCUUAUAGAUUCUUGCACUCUCAUAGGCAUCUAAUCUCAGCUCAUCAAGCUCACAUAACUGAAGUUUCCUGAGUUCACCAGCAGCUUCCAUAUCCAUGUUUAAUUUCCUGAUAGCCCAAUGUGCUUUGUGUUCAAGUUCAACAGGCAAAUGGCAGGCUUUUCCAUAGAUAAGCCUAAACGGGGACAUGCUUAUUGGAGUUUUGUAAGCAGUCCGAUAAGCCCACAAAGCAUCAUUUAACUUUAAAGACCAAUCUCCUCUGGAUUUAGAAACAACCUUCUCCAAAAUUUGCUUGAUUUCUCUAUUGGACAGCUCCACUUGCCCAUUUGCUUGAGGAUGGUAUGGAGUAGUUACCUUGUGAUUAAACACUCCAUAUUUUUCAAGCAAUUUGUCCAGCUGCUGGUUAUUGAAGUGGGUACCUCCAUCACUGAUCACUACUCUUGGUACACCAAAUCUGGGAAAAAUUACAUUUCUGAACAGCUUGCAAACCGACUUUGAAUCAGCAUGGACAAUUAGGACAGCUUCAACCCAUUUGGACACAUAAUCCACUGCAACAAGUAUAUGCUUGAAUCCUUUAGAAGAGGGCAAUGGACCAAUGUAAUCCACACCCCAAACAUCAAAUAACUCAACUUCAAGAAUGCUUUGCUGUGGCAUUUCAUUUCUUCUAGACACCUUUCCAGUUCUCUGACAAAGAUCACAUUUCUAAAUAAAAGAGUGCACAUCUUUGAAGAUAGAUGGCCAAUAAAACCCAGCUUGCAAGAUUUUUGCUGAAGUUUUGGAUACACCAGUUGGAGAGACAUGACAAUGAUAUAUCACACUCUGGACUUCUUCCUGUGGAAUACACCUUCUGAUUAUUCCAUCCCCACACUCCUUGUACAGAUUAGACUCAUCCCAAUAAUAUUCUUUAACAUCAUGCAGAAAUUUCUUCUUAAGAUGAAAAGCAAGAUUAGGAGGCAAAUGAUUGCAAACCAAAUAAUUCACAAUAUCAGCAUACCAAGGAACAUUGUGACUGAUCUUCAUUAACUGAUCUCCUGGCAAGCUGUCAUUAAUUUCAGAUUUAUCCUGGCUUUCAUGAACAAUUCUGGACAAGUGGUCAGCCACCAGAUUUUCAGUCCCUUUCUUAUCCUUUAUCUCCACAUUAAACUCUUGCAAUAAAAGAUUCCAUCUUAUCAGCCUUAGUUUUGCAUCUUUCUUAUUCAACAGCUAUUUAAUAGCUGCAUGAUCUGUAUAAACAACAGUUUUUGAACCAACUAGGUAAGGCCUGAAUUUAUCAAAUGCAUAGACUACUGCUAGCAAUUCUUUCUCUGUAGUUGUGUAAUUGACUUGAGCAUCAUCAAGAGUUUUACUGGCAUAAUAGAUGACAUUAAGCUGCUUUUCUUUUCUCUAUCCAAGAACAACACCCACUGCAUAAUCACUUGCAUCACACAUUAUUUCAAAUGGGUAUUUCCAAUCAAGUGGCUGCACAAUAGGAGCUGAAACCAAAGCAUCCUUCAGUUUAACAAAAGCUUCAUCACAGGCUUCAUCAAACACAAAGGGAACAUCAUUGUUUAGCAAAUUAGUCAAGGGCUUUGCAAUUUUUGAAAAAUCUUUAAUGAACCACCUGUAAACCCUGCAUGUCCAAGAAAGCUUCUGAUCCCUUUGACAUUAAUUGGUGGUGGAAGCUUUGCAAUAACUUUAACCUUAGCUUUAUCAACUUCAAUUCCUCUAGCAGAUACCAAAUGUCCAAGAACAAUCCCUUCUCUGACCAGAAAAUGACAUUUUUCCCAAUUAAGCACAAGGUUAUUAUCUGCACAUCUCUGCAUUACAGUACUUAAGUUCUUCAGACAAUCCUCCAAACUGUCCCCAAACACAGUGAAAUCAUCCAUAAACACCUCCAUGAUCUUGUCUACAAAAUCUGAAAAUAUUGACAAAACACAUCUCUGAAAGGUUCCGGGAGCAUUGCAUAGCCCAAAUGUCAAUCUUCUAUAAGCAAAAGUUCCAUAGGGGCAGGUGAAUGUGGUUUUAUCUUGAUCUUCAGGAUGAAUUGGAAUUUGCAAGAAUCCAGAGUAUCCAUCCAAAUAACAAUAGAAUUCUUUUCGUGCCAUUCUCUCAAGCAUCUGAUCAAUGGCAAAGGAAAGUGAUCUUUCCUAGUGGCAUCAUUUAGCUUCCUGUAAUCUGUACACAUUCUAUACCCAGUGAUAGUUCUUGAAGGUAUAAGCUGACCUUUAUCAUUUUCUACCACUGUCAUACCACCUUUAUUGGGAACAAUGUGUAUAGGACUGACCCACUCACUGUCUGAAAUUGGAUAGAUUAUAUCGGCGGACAACAAUUUCAGAACUUCUUUCUUUACUACUUCCUGUAGGUGAGGAUUCAAUCUCCUUUGAUGUUCUCUAGUGGGUUUCUUCCCUUCUUCCAAAAAUAUUCUGUGCAUGCAAACAGAUGGAUUUAUUCCUUUCAUAUCAUCAAUAGAAUAUCCAAUCACUGCCCUGUGCUUUUCCAGAACAGCAACUAAUUUAUUAACCUGUUCUGGUUUUAAUGCUAAACUCACAAUCACUGGAAACUGAUCAUUAUCUUCAAGAAAUUCAUACUUCAAAUGAGCUGGCAAUUGUUUCAUAUCAACUGGCUUAUAAGGGACUAAGCUGGCAUCAACUGAAGUAAUACCAUCUUCAACAAUCUCAGCUGCAGCUACUGUCUCAGCUUUCUGAACUUUCAGAAACUUAUCAUUAAAUCUGGAAUGAUUUGUAUUAGCAUUGUUCUGCAAUUUGUACACCUCUGCAACACAUUCAUCUAUAGCAUCAACAGAAAGACAUUCUUCUGUGCAAUGAGGUAAAUGGGAAGGUUGGUUCAUAUCAAAGAUUAUUUCUUCUUUUCCAAAUUUCAGGGUUAACUUUGCACCUUCAACAUCAAUUAGUGCCCCUGCUGUAGUUAGAAAUGGCCUUCCAAGAAUCACAGCCUCACUUCUGUCUUCCAUUCCCAACACAACAAAAUCUACAUGAUAAGCAAAUUUGUUGACAAUGACUGGGAUAUCAAGUAAAAUCCCAGUCGGUUUCCUGAGUGUUCUGUCAGCUAGCUGAAGUGUGAGAGAAGUGGAUUCCAAUUCUCCUAAUUUCAUGCUCUGUUAGACUGACAGAGGUAAAGCACUUACUGAAGAUCCCAAAUCACAUAAGGCACUGAACUUUCUGUUACCCACAGCACAAGGAAUUAUAAAACUCCCUGGAUCUUCUAAUUUCUGAGGCAUCUGAUUUAGAAUUACUGCACUGCACUCUUUUGUCAUAGUUACUAGUUCUGGUUCAUCUAAACUUCUUUUCUUAGCCAACAACUCCUUCAAGAAUUUAGCAUACAUAGGCACAUGUAGCACUGCCUCAAGAAUAGGAAUAGAAACAUGAACUUCUUUCAUCAUUUCAAGGAACUUAGCAAACUGUUUCUCUUCUUUUGACUUUUCAUUUCUUUCUGGAAAAGGGAGCUUUACUGAUGAACUCUGAACAUUUUCUGAUUCAGCAUUACCACAGGCCUCAUCUUCGUUCUGUACUUCUUUCCUUUUAACAUUUUCUGUAACAAUUGAUGUCCUAAACUGAGGUGGAACAUAAGGUUUCAUAGGAGCAGGUGUUGGGAGGAUUGGCUCAACAAUUUUGCCUGAUCUAGUAGUGAUUGCACCACAUAAAUUCUUUGGAUUACUUUCAGCUUGAGAUGGCAGUCUUGCUUCUGACUUCCCUGUAGGAUUCCCAACAGACAAAUUAUCCAUUUUACUAGCUACCUUCUGAACUGUAUUGUUCAAGCUACUUAACAUAUCUAACUGAGUUUUGUUCACAUUAGCCAUCAUCUCCAUUUGCUUCUCCAUUAACCUCUCCAAGGCUGUCAUUUCUUCCUGCUUCUAAGGGUGUGGAGCUGGAUGAGACACACUUGAUGAAAAUGAUGAUUGAGGUGGAGCAUUUGAUUUAUAAGAAAGGUUGGGGUGCCGCCUCCACUGUGGGUUAUAGCUUUGAGAGUAAGGACCUUGAGACUGAGCAUAGUUAACUUCAGAUACAGACUGAGCUGAAGAUUUUGCAGUUGCAUAUCCAACACACUCCCCAUCAUGCCCAGGAACACCACAGAUACUGCAAACCUGAGCUGGCUGAGGAACUACUGAAGAUGCAACUGAUCCCACUGAUUUUAUAGAAGAAAUUAUGCUUGCCUGCAUCUGAGACAUAUUUUUGUUCAUGAUCUCAAGUUGAGCUGCAAGAGCAUCUGUUGGAGAGAUUUGAUGCAUCCCUGGCUUCUGAGGAGUGACUGAUCUUUCACUUGACCACUGAACAUCAUGUGAUGCCAUACUUUCAAUCAAUGUGAAAGCUUCAUUCAAAGUCUUGUUCAUGAUUCCUCCUCCACCAGCUGAUGAAUCAACAUAUGAUCUAAUACUUGGAGUUAAUCCUUUAUAGAAUGUUUGUAGUACUAACCAUCUCUCUAAUCCAUGAUUUGGACACAUUCUGAGCAGAGUUUGAUAUCUAUUCCAAGCAUCAUGCAAACUCUCAUCACUGAACUGCACAAAGUUGUUUAUCUUAUCCCUGUAUUCAGCUGCUUUCAUUGGUGGAUAGUACUUCUCAAAGAAAGCCUACAUGAGAUUAGCCCAGCUGUUCUUCUGGCUUGCUGGUAAAGCAUUUAACCAUAUCUUUGCUCCAUCUCUUAGUGAAAAUGGAAACAAAUGAAGCUUAAUGACAUCAGCUGGAACCCAUUCAUCUUCACUGUAUUGCAAUAUUCCAAAAACUAGUUAAUGUGCUCAUGAGGAUCAUUAAGAGCUGAGCCACUGAACUGAGAAUGUUGCACCAUACUAAUCAAUGCUGGUUUGAGCUCAAAGUUGUUUGCCUCGAUGACUGGUUGACUGACAUUAACAACCACAUUCUGAUGAUUUGGUAUCCACAAAUCUCUAACUAAAGUGGUAUCCCCCAUCUCUGAACUUUCUGUAUCUGAAUCACUGACAAAAGAGUAGCUAUCUGAAGAUUCAGGUUCAGGUUCAGCUGAUCUUCUUCUAGGAAUCUGCCUCAAUUCUUCUCUGAUUUGAUUGAGUGUUUUUCUACGGUCUGGACUAUCUAACAACUGUCUUCUCUGUCUUCUUCUGAGCAUUCAACAAUUUCCUGCAUUUAAAUGAUUAAUCUCCUGCCGAAAAGCACAACUAAGGAACUGAUUAUGGGUAAGUAUCCUAAUAAGCCGAAGCAACAACAAAAUAACAAAAGAAAUCAACAAGGUUUAGUCUAGAGAUUUUAGUUAGCAACCAUUGAUUAAUCCCCGGCAACGGCGCCAACUGAUCAAACUGUAGUUUUAGCAGUAAUAAAAAUGAAGUUCUCCACAGGGAUUAAUGCAAUGAUUCCUUUCCAAAUCUCAAGAUUAACAGGCUUUGGACUGAAAAGUAACAAAUCAAACUUGCUAAUCUAAUGUUUUUGGGAUUUUCGAUUAACUGUAGCAAAUCUGACAACAAGGUACAGACUAACUGAAGAAACAGACACAAACAAGAAGAUUUAACUGAAGAAAAUCAACACUACCAGAGCAGAUCUUUCUGCGACGAAUUUAGAGUUUAGACAUCAAGGGUUUUAGAGAAAGAAGAUGAAAUAGAGAAGAUCUAGAGAAGACAAGCAGCAAAACUAAUAGACAAGGAGAGAGUUUCAGAUCAAAGAGUAAAACAUCACAGGCAGAUCAUGACUCUACUGCACAACAAACUGACAGAAAUUUAAAGAACUAGAGCACAAACUUAAAAGGAAAACAGAGCACAGCACAACUUCAGCAAUAUUAAAGAUUUCUCACGACUAGAUUUGGUUAUAGACAAGCUUAAUUAUACGAAUUCAACAACAGAUUAUAGAUCUUCAGCAAGAACAGAUGGGCACUAGAGAGUGUGAAGAAUAGGGGCAGAGAUUACAGAAUUUCUUUCAGCAGAAGAGAAUUGGAGAAAAGGAAGAUGAUGAUCUAGCUUAACAACUCUCAGUUUCUGGUGAAGAAGCAUCCAAAUCACCCAAGAACAGCCCUGGAUCUCGCCAGUUUCCUCUCUUCUUCCUCUCUCUUCUCCAUGUUUCUGGAUCCACCCCCUUUUCUUGUGUCCCCCGAAAAGAAAGAGGUUCGCAACCUUUUACGCUCUUCUUCUUGCUCUCUCUCGGAGGCUGUCACCAUCACCUUUUGAAUUAUGCAACCAGCCCCCUCCUUUUGCUAGCUUGACACCGAAGAAGAUCCCUGCUUAUGCCUCCUUUUUGCUUGAUCACUCCUCUUCCUUUUUCCUUUAUUUGCUUUUUGCUUUUCUUCUCCCUGCUUCUUUGCCCUUGCAUCUUGAUGUAGUAGGAAGUAGAUUUUUGGCGCCUUUUCGCACCCUUUUCUGCAAAAAGCAUGCAGUGUUGUAAAAAGACAGAUUUGGCCCUUUUCGGCUAAAUUCAUUCAAAUUUAAAUUCAAAUGAUUCAAAUUCAAGUAUGAUCAGCACCAAAUAUGUUUGAAAUUGUUUUAAAAAUAUGUACUGAUCAGUGAGAGACCAACGGCUGGGUGCUUCCUCGAGGGUAAUUCUUCGUGCUUCCCCAUCCACAGUUGGCGGCGGAGGAUUUUAGGCGCAGCAUCUGUAAACUUGUUUUUGAUCACGCAGCGAGCAGAUUGCAGAUACACACAAUUCGUUCUGGUGCCGACUAGUUUGAAGUCGGUGGACGGCUCGGCGAUUCGAUCUGGCUUGUCUAGGAGGAUGAAAAUUUCUAUGUAUCCGCGUCAUCAAAGGUAUAAAGCAAAUCCUGUACCCCCUCGUCCAACAAAAGAUGUCUCAAGUUUGUCAAAAUUUGGAUGUAUCUAGACAUGACAUAGUGAAUAGAUGCAUUCAAAUUUAGUCAAAAUUAAGACAUUCUUUGUUGGACGGAGGGAGUAUGAUUUUAGAGUUGUUUUGAUGAAGAAAGGAAAUUAUGCAAUAUGCGGUGCCUUGCUAAAGGAAAGCAGAAAACCCCACGGUCUAGACAGCGCGCCUUUCAUUGGAGCUCCUGAGCUCGCCAGUUAUAGAUGUUGAUAUCAUUCUCUUCUUUUUCUGAAGGAAUAUACGUGGAAUAGUAUUUUGCAUCCCCCAUCUCUUCCCCGUUAGAUCACAUUAUUACUUAAUUAUAAUGUACCAGGCAAUCAUACUAGAUAUUUUUGUCAGUGGAUUUCCUUUGUAGCAGGACAGAUCGCAUGAUUUCCUCUCGCCAAUCAAAACAAUUCUGAAUAACAUUGUCCGUUGUACACCUUGUAGGUCCAUCCAUUUAAUUAUCGUCUUCGUAUUCUUCGAGCAUGCCAUGUCCUUGCACCGUUGUAAAGCUGCCUUUGUUGGCCUCUUCCAAAUAGGAAUAGUCAAUGAGUUUGUUGCCACAGAAAAAACUAUAGGAGAAAAUGCUCGAGACAAAAAAAAUAUUGUCGCCGUUCCAAACAAGUUUCAGUUCACAGCUUGGAACAAGUGACUAAUCCUGCAUAGGAUCUGUAUAGGAUCUGUGCUACUGUAUAUAGCAACCGGCCGUUGUUCUGAAGACCAUUAGUGCCCGUCUGACACUUACAACUGCCGACAGACUCAAUGAAUUGAUACUGAUGCCUAGUGUAUCUCCAUUCCUGAAUUUGUGCCACACGGAAUAAUAAUACUCCAUAAUAGAAACAUUUUGCAGACCUUCGUGCACAGGAAAAGGACAUCAACAGCGAAUAUCAACAACCGACUAAAAAAAUGUUGACACUGAACCACCAUAUCUUGAUAAGGGUGUUCGUCAAAAUUGUUGCGGAGUAGGACAGUGAGUGGGAUCACAGUCAUCUGAAGAUACCUGAAACCAAAAGUCUGAAGAUUCUUUCAGAUAGGGGUGGAGAAUUUUGGAGGCAGUGACAUAGCAUGGUGUUACUGACAGACUUUUCUCUUCCCAUUUUGACAUGAUCUUGCUAUGGGAUCCUGUUUGGUUUCCAACCCACAACUAAUCUAAUGCUAGCUCAAUUAUAAUUAACAGAGUUUGGUUUGGCGAGUUGAGGCAACAGUUCAACAGCCCCUUUAGUACAAGAGAGAUUAUUGUUUCAUUUACUUUUUCCUUGGUCCGUCCCAUUCUGGGUGGUAGGUUUUUGCUUACAUAGUAACUAUCAUCUCUAGCAUCUAGCCAGGGGAAUCCAGUCUAGGCUUAUUCUCUCAAUAAGUCAAUAUGAUUCUUCACGAAUAAUAUCGAUUCUCUGGGAAUAAUAUGAUUCUUUCAUAUUCUUGAUUCCUUUUUGCCAUGGGUGGCAAUGUGACAUGCCAAUACGAACAGUAUACAGUAAAUACUAGUAGUUCCGGGAAUCGAGUUAGGUCAUAUGGGCAGAUUAUCGAAUUGGAGUAACUUGUGAUCUGUCGGGCUACUUGUUCUCAUUUCUCAAGUCACCAACUUCAUCUAGAGUUGGUGAAGGAGCAGCAAUAUGCAUGCCGACGAAACAGAAAUAUUGUUCACCAACAUAAGGUCUGUGCUGCAGUAAAGAAGUCAGGGAAUUAGGUCCAACCCCAGUUGCCCUUCAAGCUGUAUCUUAAUACUUUUGUGGUUUCCUUCCGUAUGAGCAUCCCCGUUUCACCCUCAAGGCACAUUGUCACUGACUGCAUACAUUUCCCAACAGUUCUACACACUCUUGCACCUCAACCUCAAGCAUGCAUAUGCAUAAUGUAUCUGCAGCUGGGCCUGCCCUGCCUACAAUUGCAGUUACAGAUUGAGCACAAGAACCAGAUGAAUGCAUAUAUACAUAUAAAAUAAUAAAUAUAGAAAUUUAUAUAUAUCUCACAGGAUCAAGAGCAGCAGCAGUUACAGUAGUACUAGUAGGUGUUGCAGCAGAGGACAUGCAUAGCAAUGCUCAGAAAAAGCCUGGUCCCAUGAGGCCAUGACAUGUCCCAAACUCGAAGGCUACCCUGAUCCCACACCGAUCACCCACUGUCGCAAUUGCUCAGGGCUCAGCAUGCACACUGCAGAGAAGAUGAUGCUACCUAGCCUUCCCCCCUUCCAUUUUUCCUUUUUUCCCUACAUGUUCAGAUCAAACUCUGAAGAGCUGCCGUCCUCUGCUUCUUCUUCUUCUUCUGGCUCUGCUUCUGCUGCUGCCUGUUGCUCUGCGUCCUGCAUCUGCUGCAGGAAGGGGAACGUCCUCUUGCCCUGCGCCGGCUGCUCCACGGUGCAGCAGUCCCCCUGGUGGCGGCCAGCGUGGAGCCGCCUCCUGGACCCGGCGGAUUUGCUCUCGGCUUCCGACGACGACGACGAGACGCAGCUGCUGUAGGCGGAGCGGUGCUGCUGCCGGGGCUGGGAGGAAGAGGAAGAGAGGCACUCGGUGUCCACGGCGGAGACGAGCUCCGAGAGCUCCGCCUUGGCGAGGCUGUUGUCCGUGAGGACCUGUUGAGCCCUGCGCAGCACGGACUGCAGGUACCUCCCCUGCGCCUCCAUCCUCAGCUGCAGAGUCCUCUGGACCUGCCAUGCCAUGGAUCGAGCAUGAUCAGCUCAGUAAACAGGAAUUAACUGACAAUCUGAAUUCUGAACGAGAACCCUGAGUGAGUGGAUGUUCUUUUUUUUGGGUUACCUCGAUCUGCUCGUGCAGCUUCCUCUGCACCUCCCUCUGCAUCUGCGCCAUGCUCCUGGAAGAAUCACGGAGCUCGGCGGUGGUGUCAUCGUCGUCGUUGUACUCGUUUGACUGGCUCUCGGACGAGGACGAUCGGUCGACAUUCAGGCUUCCUCCGCCAGCGUUGCCAGCGAGGUCUCGGCUCACCGCCAGCCGAUACUUCUGCAGAAUUAGAAGUGGAAUUGAGCUCACGAUUAACAGAGGACAGGGGAUCAUAGGAUCCUUGUGUUGCGCAGCAGCAGUAUACUGCACCUGGAGGUGGCUCUUGAGAUGGUAGAGGGUGAGCCCCUGCACGCCCAUGGCCCUCAGAACCGACUUGGGCGUCGCUCCUGCAAUGCCAAUCAAUCAAGCAGCGAUCAUCAUCAGAUAUAUACACCUUCGUCGCAAGCUCCGGCUGAGUUCUUGACGAUUUGAUGGACUCACGGUCUGCGCCGCCGAGCUCGGAGACGGCGAGGACGAAGCGCUCGUGCAGCGGGCGCGUCCAGCGGAGCCGCGCCCUGGCAGUGGCAGCCUCUCCGCCAUGCUGUUGGGCCGACGGCGACGACAUUUCCAGCGAGCCCACCAGGGUGCGCGGUACUGCUGCACGAUCGAUCGCAGCGGCGCGUCCAGCAUAUAUGACAGAGACGCGGCGAACCCGCCCCGCCGGAGAUCGAGGACUUUUGCCGAUCGGUAUAUCCAAGCAAACACCUCUAGCUUUGCAAGCUACUAAUGCUACCUUAGCUCUUUGGUGGUGGCCAACAGCAGCUGCAGAGAAGCCACUAAGACACGCGCAUGCACACACACUUGGGGACUUGGGGCGAUGAGCCGUGGCGCCUCUUAUAGGAGGAGCAUCUCUGCCUUGGCUCAGUUGGUUCCUUUCCUUGGACUCCACUACUCAGAUAUAUUCCCCCUCUCCGAUUCCCCCUCUUGUGAUAUGUGUGUAUGCGGAUACAGCUGAGCUGAUGAGGGCCGGCCGGCCGCGGAGAAUGUGCGAGGGAAUAUAGCGCAUGAGGCAGCUGGGGCCGGCCAUCCUUUUGCUCACCUCCAUGUCACUCACUAGCGCAGCUCAGCUCCAUUCCAUCCACACCCUCCCUCUCUCUCUCCGCUUAGUCGGUUGCUCCUUUAGCUUUCACUUCUUUGACCUGAAAGGGUGGGAAUCUUUGCGCAGUAGGCAGGCAGGGGAAAGCAAAACAGUUCAGCUACAAGGCGAUCUCUCAUCAAAAGGGAGAGGGAGAGAAAGAAAAGAAAGAUGAAGGAGAGAGAGAAUCAAGAGGCCGGCCGGUGUUUGUGCGUUAAUUGUUCUCUUGCUGUUUUCUCACACUUGUUCACCGUGUCCUCUUUGUUGGAUUCCCCUUGCCCCACCACCCCCACCCGGCUUGAACAACAACGAGGCCAAUCUCUUCACUAAGCUUGGCUACCUUUUCCCAACGCCCAAAAAAUUUGCUUCCAAGUGAAGAUAAAUGUACUGACUGACCUCUCCCGAUCUUUUACUGCUGCCUGCCUGCUGUGAAAUCACUGGAAUGGACAAGAAAGCAGUAAAAUCACUUCCUUUCAAGUGAAGGUAUAUAGUGAUCUCACUAGCUGCUGCCUGCCGUGGAAAUGACUGAAAUGGAAAGAAAGCCGUAAAAACAAUGUGGUGGGACUCUGGUAGUGCCACUAAUUCAGAGGGCCGAUCGGGUGAAGAAGAAAAAAUGUGUAUAAAGGCAAAGGGAGGGAAUAAAACUUUUUUGCAUGCGUUUUUUCAGAGGCCGGACGCACUGCCGCAAUAGUAGCCUCCCUAUGCAAUUGGCGAACUGCCUUUGGCUUUUCUGAUGAUGGGGGAAUCAAGGAAUCUAAUCCAGAUCUCAAAGACCACGGAAGUAAUCGACACUUAGCUAUCGGGAUGAAUGGAUGGAUCAAAAGGAAGCUUCUGUUGUUGAGCUGAAAGCAGCAGCUAUACAUACGUCCAUAUACACGCACGCGCACGUAUGUACUACCGUAUACUACCUACAGUACAUACGUAUGUACACGCACGUGCUUAUAGUACUCAGGAUGGGCACUGUGGGUGCAUGUAUUAUAAAUAUAAUACUCCAUGAAACAAAAUUCAGGUGGGAUCAUAUUCAGUUUUUCAGUCCAACCUAGGGCUCCAGAAUCUAUUCAAUAUUCUAUGGUACUAAGCACUAAUCAGUGAACCUUUGUCAUGAAACUUCCUAACUGCCAAUGAUAAGUUGGUCCGACUGAAAGACUAAUCAUCAGCAUCGGCAGCAGCAGCUUUUACUCUUGUGGUAUCUGUACUUCCGUAGACUGUAGCGAGAGCUCUUAAUCAAACUCGACUUUGUCUUGCAGUUUUGAAAGCAGUGCCCUUAUCAUGGGCAAAGAAAGUAUACAUACUCUUUUCCUUAAACUAAACUAAACUAAAAAUACUGGAGUACUACCAUAUAGUAUUAAGUACCACCUGCAGGGUCAAACAUCAAAAUCAGGGAGGGGAAUAUGCCUGAGAAAAACAUGAAAAGGCCAGACUAGCUUGGCAGCAGGGGCAUAUUUUCACGCUGUACUUGAGCAUUGGCGGCAAGCCUGCCUGCUGCCCUGGCUUUGCGAGGAUUUCAGCGCUUUUGCAUACACAGCAGAUGCGAGUCAGCACUCAGCAGCAGCGCCAGAAGCAACAAUGUGGCCUUUCGGUUCUCACGGUGCACGCAGACGCAUGCCAUUUUGCUGCCCCCCUGUGCUGUUCCCAUGGCAAGUGGUCGCUGCAGACAUACAUGUAUAUAUACCUGGAGCCGUACUUGGUCUGCAGGCCAAAACAUACCAGGAAAGGAACGGCGACAUGCACAGAGACAUGGAUAUAAUAUAUACAGCUUUGAGCUAGUCAGAGACGAAUUUUGCUGGAAUUUCAGAGGAAACGGUUCGAUUUCCGCGGGGGGUGGGAAAUCGGGAAAUUUUCUGAGGGAUCUGAAGGGUCGUUGCAUGAAAAACAAAUUUUUUUCUACGAAAUGUGCGGAAAAAACUCAAGAUCAUAUCUAAAUAGAUGUAAGUAACGAGAGGGAUAAUGAGCAUCAUACCCUCGUAGACCACAAAGCGUUACGAUCACGGGAUCGUUGUUGGCGUAGUGAAACUUUCGAUGAGAUCAAUCUCAAUGCAGAAAUUAACGACGGCACCUCCUUAGUAUCCACACGUUCAGCUUCACGUCGUCUCUUUCUUCUUGAUCCAGCAAGCGAGGGGAAGAGGUCGAUGAGAUUACAGCAGCACGACGGCGUGGUUUAGGCUAUGGUGAAGUUCUCCACGGGCAAGGCUUCACCGUGCGCGUGAGAGGAGGAGGUCAGGGAGAGGAGCAGCGUCCGGCCAAGGGGCAGCCCCUCCCCUCCUUAUAUAAGGGAGGAGGCCGACGGCAAGGCAAGUAAAGGAGACAAUCUCACCUUUCCUUUCUUGCCUCUCAAGAAAUAGGAAUUUGAUCACAUAGGGAUAAAUUCCCUAAUACAGUUUUUCUCUUUCCUUUCCUAGAGGUGGCCGGCCAAGGAAUCCCGGAAGGAUUCCCAAUCCUUCUGUUUGGUCUAUACACAUUAGGGGAUAAUUAAUUAGAUUUCUCUAAUUAAUUACUACAGAGGCCCAAUUAAAUUCUCAAGAAUAAUCCGGAACAUUUCAGAACCUUCCGAGAACUUCCGAAACCUUUUAGAAUAUUCUCGGUCAAUACCGAAAAAUAUCCUGAACUUUUCCGAAACAACUUUCCCAUAUAUAAUUUUUUAUCUCCGGACCAUUCCGAAGCUCCUCGUGAUGUCCUGGAUCCCAUCCUAGACUCCGAAUUGAUAUUCGAUAUCACCAUCUAUUAUCUCAUCGUACCCUAGCGACAUUAAGCAUUAAGUGUGUGACCCUACGGGUUCGAGAACAUGCGGACAUGACCGAGACACCUCUCUGAUCAAUAACCAAUAGCGGGACCUGGAUGUCCAUAAUGGUUUCCACAUAUUCCACGAAGAUCUCAUCGGUUGAACCACAAUAUCGAGGAUUCAAUUAAUCCGGUAUUCAAUUUCCUUUAUGUUGCGAUAUAUUAUUUGCCCGAGAUUUGAUCGUGGUAUCACCGUACCUAGUUCAAUCUCGUUACCGGCAAGUUCUCUUUACUCGUACCGCAAUAUAAUAUCCCCGUGACUAAACACAUUAGUCACAUGCUUGCAAACUCAUUAAGAUGUUAUAUUACCGAGAGAGCCCAGAGAUAUCUCUCCGUCACAUGGAAUGACAAAUCCCAGUCUUGAUCCAUACAACCCAACAAGCACCUUCCGAUAUACCUGAAGAACACCUUUAUGAUCACCCAGUUACGAGAUGAUGGUUGACGUCCACAAAGUAUUCUUCCGGUACUAGAGAGUGGCAUGAUCUCAUGGUUUAAGGAAAUGAUACUUGACAUAAUAAAAGCAUUAGCAAUUUAAACUUAAGUGACACGAUCAAAAGCUAUGCUUAGGUCACAUCAUUCUCCUAAUGAUAUGACCUCGUUAUUAAAUGACAACACAUGUCUAUGGUUAUGAAAUCUUAACCAUCUUUUAAUCAACGAGCUAAUCUAAUAGAGGCGUAUUAGGGACACCGUAUUUGUUUAUUUAUCCACACAUGUAUUUAUCUUCCUGUCAAUACAAUUAUAGCAUGGAUAAUAAACAUUUAUCAAGAACAAGAAAAUAUGAUAAUAACAAAUUUAUUAUUGACUCUAGGGCAUAUUUCUAACAGGAUCACCGCAGAGAGGCCUCCCGUAUUGUGCCGUUUGAUUCGGCAAUCGGUCUGACCAAGAACUAUAUAUUGACCAUGUUUUUCUCCUUUUUCAGUCUUCCUUCAGAUCUGAAUGGACGGUGCAAGGAUUGUUGCAAGGGGCAGGUGAAGGAGAGAAAGCGAGGCACGUUUGGCAGGGUCAUUUUCGCGGUUCCACACUUGGAGCCGGAGGCCCCCUCCCUGCCUCGUGAGAUCGAUGCUGUCAAUUUAGCUUGAUCCCCCUCUUAGCUUCUAGACAAGCAAGCAUCUGGCCUGCUUUAAUCUGGCCUUGUGAGGCGAUGAAGGCGAAAUACUAGAUGCUUUAAUCUGGCCUGCAUGCAUUGCAUUUGCAAAUCUUGCCUUGUUUGCUAGCAAGCUCUCCACAAACCCUUGCCUUAUUACUCAAGCAUCUCAUGAUUGCGUCUUUGCAUGAGCAGUGGCUUGCAUGGGAUGGAUGGGAGAGGGAGCGGUAGAGGGGCACACUGGCACUGCUGAUUAUUGGCAUCUUAUGUGGAAUCCUUGUGCUUGUCUGAAUUUCCCACGCUAAUAUUCACAUUCGUAUUCAGUAUUCAUUUUCGGGGUUAAAGCGAGGUCCGUAGAAUCGAGCCGAGAUGCGCGAAUUUCAUCUUUUCGAUCCUCCUGCUCAUAUAUUCUCCAUCUCCCCGUGCUUUUGCUCAUGUCGCCUUCAAUUUAGCACGGAAAAAAAAAGGGGGGGGGGGGGGGGGUAGCCUGGCUAAAGCCUAGACAGCAUUUUGGAAAAUCAACAAAGGGAGGCUGGCUUUACUUUAAGCAAUCUGAUACAGUACUGUUUUUGCUAUAUAAAAAUUUGACACUUUCCCAUCUAAAAAAAUGGCCUCUUUUUCGCGUGUUUUCUUGCUGCUUUAACAAUAUUCCAGGGCAAGAGAGAAAAGCAGAUUCCUGAAUGAUGCUGGGCUAGGUGAGAGGGGAGAAGGAAGCAAGCAAGCACUGGCUGCCACAACAAGUCACAGGGCAUUUGGCAAAGGUGAGGGCAUCGUCAAUAAUUCCUUCUAAAGAGCUCAUCAAAGUCUAUAUAUCACCAGAUUUUUAAAGGCAUCAGGAGGAAAAAGCGGAGCUGAGUGUGAGUGUGUGUGCGUGGGCCCGAGGGAAUCGGAAAAAGUACUCCGGCAAGAUGCCCAAGGUAACCCACAUGAAGAAUUCCUAUGCAGCUGUCAGCCAGGUAACAUGCCUCAACCGGGCAAGGACAUAAUUGAUGCAUAAUUACCUGGAUGCCUUCCGGAUCUUAUUUAUUGCUAUUGUUUUACAGCCGUCAUUUAUUUUCCUGGUAAAUCCAGGUCAGCAAUGAUCUUAGCCACGGACAGUUUAAUUGUUUUAUGCCGAUUUUUUUUUUCGGAAGGACAUCGAUGUUUCUGGGUCGAAACUGUUCAUCAUUGAUGGUUUUACCACGACCUGUCUGAUGAGCAAUCCAUGGGAAUCUUUGCUUUGUGGACCUUUGGCUAUAAAGCAGUGGUAGCCUUAAAAUUUACUGGUGGAUAAUCUUGCAGCUGCACGAAUCUUAGUGAAGAAAUCUUCACUUUGAAGGAAAGAGUCAGAGAUUUCCAAGGAAUAUUUUCCUGACUAAAUGAUCAGGAAAAAAUGAAUUGAUUUUUCUUUCCUGUCCUGAGAAUAUGUUGAGAUUUGCUACGCAUCUGUUGCAGCUGCAUUUCUAGCAACUUGCAGAAUAAGCUAAUCUAUUCGGCAGGUUCUGAAUAUACUGAACUCUGCUUUAGCACAGAUCUCUUCCCACCUCUUGAGAUAAGGUGGGCAGGAUUCCAUUGAUCCACUAAAGAAAAGCAUUAAACCGAAUAUUAGAUAGAGAUGACAAACUCCAAAGCAUCAAAAGAGGAUCGGGGAUAAAAGGAGCGAAUGACAUGAGAAAGCAAUUAAUCAGCGACGUUUUGCUUAGUGCCAAGUAGCAGCUAAAGCAAGCUUAUCUUGAUCAAACUCCACUGAAUUUUUUCUCUAGAAUUUCCACUUGAAGUUUUUCCCUGCCAGUUUUUUUUUAAUACUGAUCGCCCAGCGUGAAAUGAAACACAAAUCCUUCGUUGAUCAGCCGAAUCGGCAUUCUGUCGGUGCGGGUGCUGUGUGCUUCUUUCUCUGUUUAUCUGACACACACAACUUGCAUUGUGCCGAGGGCAUAUCAACAUGCAUUUGCAUGCUGUGAAUAAUUCAAGUCUCCUAUGAUGCUUUUGUGCCUGAAAUGACUGUUACACUCAAUGAUGCAUCUAGCCUUGAAAGUACUAAUAAUGGACUAAGAUGCAUGAAUUAGAACCAGCUAUCCUUCAGGCACUUAUUCAGCCCCAAGACAGUUUUUGGUACUGUUCGAUGGCCCGUGCUCUAAUCCCUGGACCCUGGUCCAAUAUUCCGAUUCCCCAAAUGUGCUCUAAUACCUCAAAAGCAAAUUUCAGAGUCCUCAAUUGUGAUGUUGCGAUUUUGUAUGAUGCAUUAACAUUAAUGCGUAGUUGGCAGAUCACAACGGAUUGAAUUGUAAGAGUAAAUUUCACAGAAUCACAGGUUUUGAAGCAGUCUUCUCACGGAGCACUGGUAGAUGCUAAUUUGUCCACAGAACCACAACUUGUUUGUCUAAUUGUCUCAGUCUACCCAAAACACGUGUUUAAACUCCUUUGACACUAUUUCUUACAGGCGGGGCCCGCACGUCAGGCGUCUCAUCUUUUUCAUCAGACCCCUCGUCUUUUUCUUUUUUUCCUCAUUGCCCAGCCGCUCUGCCCGGCCGCCGCCCUACUGCCCGCCGCGUGCCCGCCGGCCUACCGGCCGCCUCGCCCCGCUGCCGCGCCUGCUGCCCACCCGCCCCGACCUCGCCCGCCACUUCCGACAACUCCACAAGCGCGAGCGCAACAAGAAGCUCUGGCGCCUCCGCAGCCUCAGAAGAGAUGGAACAGGACGAGGCUGACAAGGCGAGGAAAAAAAGAAAAAGACGAGGGGUCUCAUGAAAAAAUGUGACGCCUGACGUGCGGGCCUCACCUGUAAGAAAUAGUGUCAAACGAGUUUAAACCCGUGUUUUGGAUGGACUGAGACAAUUGGACACAAAAGUUGUGGUUCUGUGGACAGAUUAGCAUCUACCAGUGCUCCGUGAGAAGGCUGACUCAAAACCUGUGGUUCUGUGAAAUUUACUCGAAUUGUAACGGAGACUAAGUUUGUCUGAUUUGCUCGCAGAACAUCAGUUCAGUUGGUUGACAAUCGGGAUACCAUGGAGUGUACUACUGUUCAGUUGGAAACAGAUGAAGCUGUCUGCAGGAACUUUCAGAACAUGGAAUGUAUAGCUACAAAUGCAUGUAAUAUUCCGAACUCUAUGUACAGAACUGAAUUUCAGCAACUGAACAUACAUCUUCUCAGUUAGCUUACUAUAAUAGUCGACAUACAAAAAGGGAUAUAUUGAAUAUUCUUGAGCAUUUGAAUACACUGCACAUUUGCAAGAGGUUACAAGCAUCGGUCAUGGCAUCAUCUGAUCACCAUAUGGCCAUCUGCAAGAGAGCUGAUCAAAGUGAGCUCUUGAGACAGAAAAGAGAGGCGGCAUCAGGGAGACAUGGAGCUUGCUUUCAAUUCUGAACAGCGAGCGUGCACAAACGCACAGUCACCGAAACCGAUAAAAUCAUUCACAGGGAGGAGCUGGCUGAGAGAUAGCGCAAUCUUUGCUUCAAUGCUAAGGCUUUGUGUGUGACUUUAAUUUGGAUCACGGCCUUUAGCUGAUAGAGCACACAUUUAGCUAUUGAUCUUGCAAAAGCAGCCUUUCAUUUGCAGUCCAACUCCGAUGCGUCAUAUUCACGGGCGAACGUUAACCGAGGAGAAUCAAAAGUCGAUCAGGAGCAAAAGAAGGGAAAGUAAUGUGCUUUUUCAAAAGAUAUGAAAUUUGAUUGCAGUCGUUCGAAGAUAAGAACACCGGCCGGAUGAGGUGAUAAGCAGUCUACGGAUAUAUUUCGUGCCGUCUCCAUUGUACUCACUCAAUCCUCCAAAUUUUCUACGGAUAGUGCUAUUGCUUUCUUGUGCUCUUUCUACCCCUUUGCAAGUUCCGCUCAAAAUAAACUACUCCCUCUGAUCCAUAAUAAGUGUCGCUGAUUUAGUACAAAGCGACAGUUAUUUUGGAUCCGGUGGAUUACUUCUUAGUGAAUUAAUUGGGUGAAAAAAGGAGGAUUGGUGUUUGAGACUCAAGGGAGGUAUAUUAGAAGUUUUACUUUUUUUUUGCUAGAAUAUUACAAGUUUUACAACGAUUUGCCCACUGAUACCAUGCGGCGAAGGGCAUGCGUAAAGGUCGGUGCAGCUAUUGCCUCUUCACUGUUGUAUCAAGAAAACCCGAAGUUAAGUAGAAGCGUAUAACGCAUGUUCUUGAGGACUAACUCUGAAGCGUUUACAUUCAGAACUCGGUUACAUUGGUCGAUCGUCGAAAGAAACUAUAGUGUGAUCAUCGGAGAUGCUUGUUUAGUAGGGAGUGGAGAGAGAGAGUCACACACAUCGGAGUCUUUUUUUUUUGACAGAAAACAUCGGAGUCAACUGGGCGAAAAGAAGGGGGAAGACAAAAACAAAGGAGAAUGAAACUCUCCUAUUGCAUUUUUUUUACGACAAUGGAUGUUGCCUGUUGGUGGUAGAACGGGCUGAUAUGGGUUUACCCGAACUGAAGCCGGAAAAAGCCCACCGAGAAUAACAGGAUGGUACAGUUUUUGUUUCCCGGGACACGCUCGUGGGCCUUAGCCGGUCGGCCAUCUGCAGAAGGGCUGAUCUUCGUUUGCGCGAAAGAGAAGUGAACGGGCUCGCUCGCUCGCUGGUUGUGCCGGGCCGUGCGUGAGAUGGGCCUGCGUACCUGGGGUGCUUUUCCGUGCGGCUUACGAACGUACAACUCGGCCCACGCCGACGAGGCUUCCAUCUGGGCCUCUGGGGAGGGCGACGGGAAGGACGAUAACGGCGGGACACCGGCCACCAGACGACAGGACAAAAGGAGGAAUCGGACGGCGGAAAAGGGGCUGCCGUGGCGCCGAGUUCAUGCACCAAAUCGACCGACUCACCGCAAGACGCGGUUGCUUAUUAUCCGUGCCGCAUGAGGCACCGUUUGUUUGGUUGUUUUUUUAGAGUACCGGUACAAUGUCCGUGCGAAGUCACGGGGUCGAUCUCCUGAAAUCUGACACACCCCGAUCCCAAGUAAGUGAAACGGAAGCACGCGCGUGCGACGCAGAAUCCACAGGCCUUGAUCUCACUCAAAUUUGAGGGUAGACGGACUUGAAGACGCGGCGGAGGAGGCCGCAGGAGUCGUGCGUCCAGAGGUCCGCGUCGGCGGCGGCAUCCUCUCAGCUGCCGACGUGUUCCUCAUUGGCGGCGAUGGCCGUGGAAGGGUAGCCGAGGAGGAAGGACUGGUGGAUCUGCGCCUGGAGAAGCGCGAGCGUCAUUAGGGCCGACCGAGAGGAAAUCAGCGGCGGCGGGGUUGGGGGAGAAUUCAGCGACGGCGUCGGUUAGCCGAGGAGAAGCCGGAGGUGGCGCCGCGCCGCAGUGCGACCGUGCGAGGGGAUGAGGAGGAGUGGAGGCAGGGCAAAAUUGCAAGAAAACCCAGUUUUUGCAGAAAAUCCCAAUUCUGUCCGCAACCUGGGCUUCGAGUUGAUUCUCCAAAAACGGAAGGGGUAAAAUGCAAAUUGGCCGACGGACCGACGACGAAGGAAGCCUUACUGCUUUUAUUGUUUGGUUAGAUUAGAUUAGAUUAGAUUAUCCAAUCUAAAAUGAAAAACAUUAGAACCCGAAUAGAAAAGAUUUAGACAGGAUAAUCUCUAGUUUCCCUACAAAACAUUCCUUUUUUUAUCAAAUUAAAACAUUUCUCAAACAAAACUCUACUGUUUUGGGUUUUUAAAGAGUUUUGGAUAAAUCAAAACACUAGUGAUUAAAAAAAUACACUAACACCAAACAAAUUUGAUUAAAACAUUUGUGAUAUGGACAUUUUAAGGGUCCAGCUUAUGAAUUUUUUUGGUCUUUUUUGUGUUCCUAUUUGGUUGCAGAUGAGGGAUUUUGACUUAAACGAGUGUCCUGUCGAACUCAAUAUUGCUGUUGGGACUGAGGAAGGGUAUGGAACAACUUUAUUCCCAUUGUAUUGCACCCAAAAACUGCCUAACAAAGAUACCCAUCAGCAUGAUGGUGAUUGUGGUGAGUCCCAUAAUGCAAAUGCAAAUGCAGUGGACAAUUUGAUUCACGAAGGGCAUGUUGGGCAGUUUGAGUCUUCAUCAUUAAACCAGCAAUCGAUUGAUGCCCCUGGAGAAGUGCAUAUUGAAGAACAAUAUGAUGGUGAAGAAGCUUUGUCACAGCCCCAAGAGCCUUUCCUAGGAAUGAGAUUUGAUACUUUGUUGUGUGCUCGUAACCACUACAAUGCUUAUGCACUGAAGCUUGGGUUCUCAAUAAGAUCAAACACUUCUAGGAGAUCGUUCUACACAAAUGAAGUUGUGAAACAGCAGUUUGUUUGCAACAAGUUCAGAAAGCCUAAACCUGAAGGUAGCAAUACACAUAAGCCUAAAGUUGCUCCUGCUAUUUGCUCAGAAUCUGGAGGGGAUAGCGAUGAGGAAUCUGAACUUGAUGAACAUGCUUUUGCUAAAGGCAAGAAAGUAGUGAAAAAGAGAAGAAGAGAAACAAUUAAACAAACCAAUUGCAAAGCACGGAUGAUGGUGAAGCUAAUAGAUUCUAGGUGGGAAGUAACAUAUUUCAUUGGUGAGCACAAUCAUCCUUUGAUUGCAAAGCCAUCCCUCACGAAGUAUCUCCGUUCGCAUUAGGGUAUAUCCAAGGAGGAAGAAGAGUUUUUGUCAGUUCUACAUGAUUGCAACGUCGAGACAGGUGAUAACCAGCUUUUGCCCAUUGUGUUCCCUAAUAGUUGCCCCCCUUUUACUAGUUGUAUGUUAAACUUGCCAAAAUGUACGUUUAGGAAAAGCAAAAUUGAACAGGAAAAUUCCACUUAUUUUGGGAGGCAAAAUUUAGCAACAAGUUUACAAAAAAUCAAAAAAUUGAGCCCCAGCAGUGUAAAAAAGCAACUUACAGUGCUAUGCAAGGCUGCUUUUUUGUGAAAAGCAAUUCACAUUGGGUAUGCUGAAAAAACCUACCCAUCGACAAACAGAAAGGAUCAAAAUUUACUUCCGCAAUUCUUUUGUGUACAUGCACACUAAAAACUUGGAACAAACACCAAAAAAAGACACAGUUAGCUUCCAAGGCUGGAAAAAAAGCACAAGCAGAAAAGUUAGCCGCUGGACUGCAUAAAUGAGCUGAGAACGCGAUUUUAGAAUAACUUACAUGCAAAUUCCCAUAAACUCCAGGUCCUUUCAUAUCUUGUUGGAUCACUCUGUUUAUGGCUUGCGUCGUCUAUGCUUGGAUACGCACAGGGCAGUUGCUCAAGGGCUCGUCGGUGAUCAGCGAAUCGAGAUAAUAGAUCUGGAAAUUAGUUUAAGUUCAGUUAUGAGUUUAGAUUAAAAAAAAAGAAGGAAAAAUGCAGGAAAAAUGAAUCCUACUAAAUAAGGAAAGAGUUUUGAUAAAGCUUACGAAAAGGUGAUACACGCAGCACCGGACUGAGUUCUUUUCAUCACCCAACUUCUUAAAAGCUAUUUGUAGUUGAUCAACUACGAACUGACAGAAAUUUAAGUUGUCAACAACAUCCAAAUUUAUGAAGGACGGGUAGCACCGUGGGCUGUGUUUCAGGCCUAUAGUUGGGCAAAGAAAGCAGGACAUUGCGGUGAUCAGACAGGCCCUGAGAAACUUGUCAUCUGCUUCCUUCAUUUCGCCAAUCAUUUUGCACCAAGCUGUGAUAUCUGGUGAUGAACCUUUUUCGAAGCCAUACUCUUGGAUGAUGAAAUCUGUGGCUUCCUGGUUCAUCACAUAGUUGACUUUCCCGCCUUUGUUUGGCAAUUUAAACAAUUUGUACACACUGUCAGCCGUUAUUUCGAUGAUACCCCUCUCAGUAACAACCAAUUCUGAUAACUCCGAGUUGUAGCAGCUCAUCACAAACUUACAGAACUCUGCUGGCAUUGUGUGAGAAGGCAAAAAUAGUAAGCCACCAAAAUGCCUCUUCCUGAUCAAUGCCUUCUGAUCGGGUGUUAGAUCUUUGUUAAUUUUGUAGAGCCUAGCAGGAGAUGCCAUGUUCCUCCCGACCUAAAGUAUUUACCAAACAAAGCAGAAAUAAAAGGUUAGAUCAAGAAAAUAAGCAAGCUAAAUGAGAUUGUAAUAAUGUAGUUAGCAACUUUAAACAAACAUAAAAAGGUUGCCACCUAUUUUUUAGCAAACUACGUGAUUCUAUUACUUCUUUCUCUGUUCUCCUGGGGGGUACGCAUUUAGCAACCUGUGCAUCUACAAUCUCUUUGACAGCUUCAUUAGGGGCCUUGGCGACAUUCCCUCCUAUGGGAGCCUCAUCAAUAGUUGCCUCGCCAACAGUUGCCUCCGUGGGAGCCUCAGCGACAGAAGUCUCGCGAGAACACUGCAUGUAAAAAACAAGUUAAAUAAUUACUAUGGGUUCCUAAAAAAGCAAAAACAAAACAAAACAAAACAAAACACAAGAACAUAAAAAUGUACCUCUAGGGAUAGCAUAGCAACACCGCCUGCUAUGCCUCCCACGGGUUCUACUAUGGCUUUAGAAUUGCGUCUCCUGCGGCGAUGGAUUAAACCCCAGUUUCAUCGUCUUCAGGUCCUUCCUCGAUAAUGUUCAUUAUAGCUCCUGCAGAAAAAAGGGAUGCAUAAAUAUGCAGAAUUUUCUGUGGCUAGUUUACAGCACUAUAUAAACAACCCAACCCAAUGAGUGAAAAAAAUGGACAUACACAGUUACUGAUCAACCUGUAAAAAAUGGGAAAAUGUAGACAUAGCAUAGCUCAUUUAACAACUUCUAAUUCAGCACAGGUUUAUGCCCUGAACCUGGGAACUAAAAAUCACCCCCUAAAUGUGGACAAAUGUGUCAAAAGUUUGCCUAAAAAAAUGGGAACAGUAAUGAUUCUCCUAUAGAAAGCAACUCCUAAAACACAGUGUUGCAUCCUGAUAAAACACCUGGAACAAAAAUAUAAGUGCCCCCACUAAGAAUUGCCAUUAAAAAGCAACUCCUAAGAAUUUGCCUAACCAACAGUAAGGGGCAGGUAAAAAAAUGCAAAAUCCCCCUAAAACAAAAGGCAAAAAGAGACACAAAAAUCACUUAUGAUACUCCUAGAAGCAACUCCCUGAGAAAAAUUUGCCCAGUAGAAGCAACUACCUGAACAAAUUUACGAUACUCCUAUAAGCAACUCCCUAAGAAAAAAUUGCCCAGUAGAAGCAACUACCACAAAUUUACCCCAUAUACAUGCACAGUAGAAGCAACUUCCUGAUAAUUUGCUACGGACAAAAACAUGACAUAAGCAACUUAGAAUGCUCUGCUGAAUUAGAAGUUGCCAUAUGCAAUUUAGGGCCCAAAAAGACCCGUCAAAAAAGUGGUCAGCACUGAACUAGGUCCAAAAAUUCCAAUCCAAUUCCAACUGAUUUGGUUACGGUUGGAAUUGGCGCAGAUUAUGCAGAUUAAACAUCUCCCAGACGUCUACCCCCCAAUAUCCAUGGCACCCUAAUAUGAGCUAAUCGCUAGCCUGAAGCAUCUACUAGGGAUUCAUCUACUGUAGAUGGUGUGCGCGCAUGCUCGAGUUUGGGUAUGUUGAGGAGAGAUGUGCAAGGAGGGGGGCUAACCGUAGAUGUUGCGCGCGCGCUCGCUGCCGCAGUCGAUGCGUCCCGCCUCGUGUAGUCGUGCUAGCUGCGCCAGCGGUGGUCGAUGUGCCCGCCGGGGUCGCCCUCCUGGAGCCCUCAGCAACGCGCCCUACGGCAUGCAGGAGCCCCCGUGCACCCCCAUAAUAUUGCCGGUGAAAACUCGCUCCUCGCCGAAACCCUUGCCCCCGCCGCCUCUGGCAAAACUCGGCGCCGAUGUCACCUCCGACCGUCCCGGCACUGUCGACGGCCUUGUUGCUGUUCCGCUGCGCCUCGCCGACACGAAGCUCGCCGGAAUCGCCGAUGCAAAAUCGCGCGCGCGCGAGAGCGAGAGAGAGAGAGAGAGAGAGAGAGAGAGAGAGAGAGAGCGGUGGGGUUCGCGAGGGGGGAAUGGGGAACGGGAAAGCGGAAGAGACAACAGCGCGUCCCCCAAAGCUUUGAAAAAAAAGAGCUUAACAGGUUGACACGUGGGGCCCGCCCGACCGACGGGGGAGGCUGUCUUAACUGCAUCGCGCGGCGCGGAAGCGCCAGGGUGAAUCGGACGGCUUCCAACGUGCGCGCCCGUUCGAAGCGAAAAGGGCAUAAGCACUUUCGGAUAAAACAAAGAGUACACAAGGAACCUACCCAACUAGCAGUAACUUCAAAGUCCACAAAAUGUUUUGCCAUAAACGAUACUAUUUCCACUGGCAUUGACAGGACACAGGACCUUGGGAGUACAGGAUAUGAUUCACAGCAGUCAGCAUACUGCAUCGACCGACCGAUAUGUAUCUUCACAAUGAAUGCAUAUCACCCCACACUGUAAACAACCAACCCUGCUGGCAGGCAAGCCAGAGAAUUCACCUGCAGUCACCCCCCAGCGGUCGAGCUAGCGGACAGGAGUAGAUACACACCACGGAAACUCACAAAUCAAUCGCCAAAGCCACUGGAUCAGCAGGAAGCAGUAAUUAAUGGCAAAGCUUACAUGUCAAGUCAAUCAGAGCAGUGUGUGACUGUGUGGACCCUGGACCCAGCAACAAGACACAGAUACUAUCAUUAUGCAGCACGCGUUGUAUAUGUGUCUUUCACCGAGUUCGUGCCAAUUUGUCUAAUUGUCUGCCCCAUAAUCUGCGUGGCCCGGUAGUAUGUGUGUCUGCGGCUCUGCGUUGCCAUGCCUUGUGCUGUGCAGAGGAUUAAAUUGCAGCUUCAGGUGUAAAUAUGCCCGUCGCAGGGACAGCUCCGAAAUCCGAGGUGCGGACGAGCACCGUGGGCCAGCGACGACGACCACGCUCCAAAGUCUCAUCAUUUUUUCCGAACAAAGGGUAGAAAGUAACUUUAAAUAGCAACAUGCAUAUGUUAUUAGUUUAAAUUACUGUCUUCAUAAUGCCUUCAAACUUAUAUAUGGAGUCCUGCAUUGUGUCAUUAAUUAUGUUGUAAACUCAUCUUAUUUUUUUUUUACGAAACAGCCACAACGACCUAUUAUUUAUUGCCACCGAAGGUCGGAGAGAAUCCAACCGGAAGGUUACAUGUAGGAAAGAGAAACACCAGAGCUUGGAGGCAGGAACAGAGGAAAUAAAGGAAAAAGAUUAAAGCACAUCAUCGGGUCCUGAAACAAGAGCAACUAGACCUAUUAGCACUAGUUGCGCCUCAACAUCUUCAAAAAAGACAAUCUUCCGGGCAGCAGUAGAACCCUUGCAAUUGGAACAACGAUUCCCAUUCCGCGGCGACUUAUAACGAUCAUUUGCUGGCCCCUUUCCAUCAGCGCCUCUUUUAAGCAUUUCAACAAAAUAAUGCCGACCACGUGCUGCAGCUGCAUGAGGCAUCCGCUCAAAAAAGGAGCAUUUCAUACUAAACAUCAAAGUGUAACCAGGAACAACCGGGCAAAGAACGCCGGACUUCAAGAUCCUAACACGCAAAGGGAUGCAAUGUAUAUCAAAUGGGUGUCUCCUCACCAACCGCCUCGAGCUCCGCAGCUGUGAAAUCCAAAGCUGCAAGGUCGAUCUGAGCCUUUCCACGAAGGCCAGUCAGGACGCUCAACGCUUCGAUCACCUUCGGCGUGAGCGGCUUCUUGUACAUCUCCAAGUAGGUGGCCAUCUUAUUCUUUGCCUCAUGAUCUCCUUUCGCCUCCUUAUCACCCACCUCUGAAACCUCCCCAAAGGCUUCCAUCAACCUAUGCUCAGCGCGCUUGGCAAUAGGGAUGUUGCAUUUCUUGUUCUUCUGAACCAGGCGGCCACUACGGCGAGGGGUGCUGUCCACGCGCACCUGCGCUGGCAUCGGGGUCCCAAGCAAGGAGGGAGGCCUGACACAGGUGACCUUGCUGAUCAACUCUUCCACAGUGAUUGGUGGCACCUCCUCUUGCACAACAUUAGUCUCAAUGUGCAUCCCUCUUUCUUGGGGAUCUACUCCUGCACAACCUUCUCCAACGGCCUUCAUCAUGCGCCUUGCAUCGAAGGAGAUGGCCUUCUUGGGUGUUGGCGUCUUCUCAUGGACAAAUAGAGGCUGAGGCAGGUAUGGUUCAGCAAGCACACUUGCCACCUCCUCCAUGGGCUGAGACACAACCUCACAGCAAAUCAGAGCUUCAACAACCAUUGGGUCCUCCCCCAAGCAGUCCCCGCAGCAUUGCAGGCUACCAAUCAAGGGAGACACCAUGUCCAGCACUUCCGAAAAGCAAGCAGGCUUAGCAAGGGGAAUGGAAGCUUCAGUAACCAUUGGAUCUUGCCAAGGAGGGUCGUUGCGGUUGUCGAAGAGAAGCAGACAAGUUGGCAUACAAUCGACAAUAGGGUCAUGGAAAACAGCAGCUUCGCGCAUGGCCGAGCACAACAGAGGUUUGGUGGCGAGCUCACCAGAUAUCCUUGCAACCGGGGCAUGGAGAGCAUGAGGCUGCUGUCGAGGGCUAUGACGGGUGGGGCAAGAACUGGCAAUAUGACCAUUCUUCCUGCAGUUGAGGCAUCUCACAGGGUAUCUGCACUGGGCCACGCGAUGAUCAGACGCAAGACACCGCAAACAUUUGUUCCAGAAAGUCUUCCGGUAACGCUCGACGGCAGCCUGCGAAGGAGGUGGUCGCUGCACGGCAACAACAGGAGCAGAGACCAGACGCCCAGACUUCAACUCUCUCCACCAACCCUUGGGUUUGACAACCUCCCACGGAGACCCCCCUUGGUUAACAGCAGACUUGGAGGGAGGGGCCGACAGCGAAGGGUCUCCAGCAGCAGGGCCAUCCACCGGUCUUCCUGCGAGGCCCACCGCCGAGGGGGCGUGACGUGCGCAAGCAGAACCGGCUGGGAGAUGGAAACCGUCAUGGCAGACAGAGCAGCGUCCACUGUCCGCGGACCCGAUUCAGGCAUGGGGGCGGCGCAAAGUACCUGGGGCGUCGCUAAUGAGGAAGCUCGGGGCAGCACAGCCACAGGGGACGGCAGGUCGACCUCAUCCUCUGCAGAAAGGGGUGGAUCUUCGUCGCCGAAGGAGCCCCAAUCGAGUUUCUCGGGAGAAUCCUCAUCUGGAUCUGAAAAUUCGCAAGGGCUAGAGGAGCAGCGAAUGGAGGGAGAUGGAGAGGCUGCUGUGGGUGAGGAGGCCAUAUGGCAUGGCUGGGAGGUGGAGGCGUGAGGGCGUGGGGAGGCGGAGGCGUGGGUGCUUGGGGAGACGGAGCUACGCGGUGGCCGCGGCCGCCGCCGCGGAGUUGCCAGACGCGUCGCAGGGGCUCAUAGCAGCGGACACUCGUCUUAUCUUGAUGUGUAAUGGCAGUGUUUGGUUGGGGAAAUCAAGUGGAACGAAGUGGAAUGGUUCCAGUUUUGAAGGUGGUUUCAGCGUUUGGUUGAAAGAACGGAGAAAAUUGGCAUGGAACGAAAUGGUUCCACGGUUGGGAAUAUACCCCUCAGAUUCGGAACGAACCGAUUCCUAAAAAAACAAGGAAUCAUCUCGUUCCACCUCUCUCGCGCGAAAGAUUGGACUCCUGGCCCUCUCUCUUUCUAUUCUCACCCGGCGCUCUCUCUCCCAUGGCGGCUGCCCCUACUUCCACCCCCCACAGAUUUGGGCGCCACACAACCUCCGGACUCCCUCAUCGGCCAAAUCUGGUCCAAGCCUACGGCGGUGGAGGAGGGAGACGACGUGGAAGCAGUUUCGGUCGGCGGCGACGGAGGAAGGUCGUGAAGGGGAGAGGAGGCCGGCAACUUGGAGGAGAACGACGAGGUCUACCCGGUGGAGUGCGUGACCGCAUUCAAGACGGGCGAGGAGUUCACCUACUUCCUGGAGCGGUCAAGGGCGACGGGCACGCUGUUGGUGGUGGACUUCUUCCGGUCAUCAUGUGGCAGCUGCAACUACGUCGAGCAGGGCUUCAUGAAGCUCUCAAGCGCUCCGGCGACGACGGUUACCCCGUCAUCUCCCUCAAGCACAAGUGCACAACGUCUUGUUGGUUGGUAAUAAUUGAUUUGGAGCGGCCGAGUACUAAUUCCGUAAAUGUAGAGCAAGCUUAAUUAGCUUUCCUUCCAACGAGCCCUAAAUUAACGAAACAACAUCUUCAUUCCAUAACAAUUGAUGCUCUUCCAUGAAUGUGUUGUAUGGAAACAUUAAUACUGGUUCUUCUUAUAUCAGCUCUACUAUUUUGUUAUGGUUGAUAUAUGAUUAUGUAAAAAUUGUUGAUGUGAAAAAUACAAAAUAAGUGCGGACAUUUUUUUAUUAUUGUAAAAAUUAUAUAAAUAGCUAUAUUCUCAUGCUCACAGUCAUAUUGAUAAUCUCACCAGAAGUGAGUGCAUCUUGACCAUCUCAUUUCAUCUUCUCAACCAAACACAAAAUGGAACCAUUUUACUCCGUUCCAUCUCCUCAACCAAACAAAAUUCACAGCCGUUCCAUCUCCUCAACCAAACACCAAACCGGAACCUAUAAGAAUGGAACGGAACGGAAUGGAAUGGAACGGUUCCAUUCCAUUCCACACCACUCUAGAACCAAACACAGCCUAUCUUGAUUCGUGUGAUGUUAUGGUAACAUAUCAGUUACCACAAAUCCAUCUCUUUUUUCAUUUAUUGCCAUGCCAUGUCAUCCAAAAAUGACUAGUUGGCAUCUAUGUUACUACGCUAGCCAGCAACACCAUUAUCCGUCAAAUUAACAAAACGUUGUAGGUACGUGAUCCACGCAGAAUUUAAAUUCGGGUCGCGAGCCUGUCGAUCGGUACGGUUUCUUGUCUCUACGUGAUUAAAUUAGCUGACAUUAAAGUUUGGAUCGAUCGCGAGACUCGUAGUACUACUCGUAGGAAAGAACGUAUUUAUUGUGCGUGAUACUGAAUCCAGUCAUUCAGACCGCGAGCUCAUCAUGGAACAGUACACCAUCCGGGGCCCCUGCCUGUGCCUGCACGCGUUCACUGCAUGAAGUUUGUUGCAGCGCGCGCUGCGCCUUAACUCGCUUGCCGCCAGACCCGGUCAUGAUGGCCCGUCGGCCGUGGAUCGGUCCUGCGUCCAGAGCUAAACAAAAACGUGAGCUCAUUUGCUCUUGCCUGCGCGGCGGCCCGGCCCUAUCGAUCUGUCGUAGAGCGUGCGUGCACCACUGGAUGAAGUGUGGCAUGCAGUUGCUUACUGUCAAAAUGCGUCAUGAUCGAUCGAGCCAUGAGGUAAGCAGACACGAGGAACAAAAUCCGUAGCUGUAAUGUAAUGACUGAUGACCACACAUCAUGGCACAUUCUCAGUCUGGUACUGCGUUCGUACUGCAGAAUUUUGACAUAUCCAUCCCAUUUGUCCCCGGCCCCCUGGCUACGUACGUACUGGACCUCCGGAGCUGGAGUAGCUAGCCAUGUGCAUUGCUUCUCCAAUGCGUAUACAUUGUCAUAGACUGGUAGCUAAUACGGCGGCUGAUAGGUGCGUCCAACGACCGAAGUUCUGAAAACAAGGCCUUAGAUCGAUCUAGCUGCUAGCUAAGCUGCAUACUUGACGCGCAGGGGAAAUUAGCAUAUGUAUGCAGAUCGUCGUACGUGUUUACACCGGCAAAAGCUAGCUAGCGUGCAUGCAGUUCAUCAUGAAACGACCACCAGGACCAGACUAACUAACUUAGAGCUACCGUAGCUACAUGCCAUAUACUAUGUGCACGCACAUGAGUCACGAAAUUGGCCCAUCGCCCCUAGAAUUCAGCACAUUCACGACGGUAUCUGAAUGCAUGGAGCCACCGAGUAUGCAUGUCUUUGAAUGAAUUGAAGCACCAACCGGCCGGCCGGGGCCAGACUAAUUCAAGCCGCGGGGCACUUGCUGCCACUGCGCCGUUCCUGGAUCGCAACCCAACCUUGUCUUGCCUUGCCUUGGGUUUCCAGCUACUCCAGUAAGCUGCAUCCUGACAACUAGGUCCUCAUGACGCCCGGCGCGAGAUCCUGCAGGCUAGCUAGCUGCGGCUUGAUUGAUCCGCAGCCAAAUAUUGGCAGCGCCUGCGUCGAUCUGCUGCAGGCAAGGCAAUGUAGGUUUUAGCACUCAGAUAGUCAGAUGUCAGCAGUUAUUAAGCGUCUCCUCAUUUAUACAUGGGUUUGACGGUUACCACUUGAAUUCGCGCUCACUAGCUAGCUCUGACACUGAAUGGGGGGAGGAAUUUUGGCUGCUCGAUCAGGAGGGGGGUUCACAGCCAGGCUACAGGUUCAGGCUCUCUGUCCCAAAUCCUCGGAUGCAUGCAUGAUUGCCUGCUUGCUUGCUUUGGACCUGCUACGACUAGCAGUAGCGGUUAGGAUGGGGCGCGCAUUGUGCUGCGGUAGGUACAGUAAUAUCUGUAGGUGACACACUCCGCCGCUGCUGAUUUACAGUCCUCUCAACUCCUGCUAGAUCCCCUCUCUAAAUAACUGGCUGUCAAGUUCAACUAUCGAUUUUGACCUGCGUACGUGGGGUGCGUGAUUCCAAGUGUUAUGGGACGAAUUUAAUUGUAGCUUACUACUCCCUCCGUGCCAAAUUAACUGUCGUGGAUUUGCAUAAGAAUCUAUUUCAAUUAAUUCGGGACGGAGGGAGUCCUAUUUCAGUUCAGCUUCUGAAAGUUGAGACACGAAUUAUAAUCCUCAAUUCCUCAUGCAUUUCCGGCCUUUGGGCUGGUAUCCUUGAUCACUUCAUCUCCACCGGAACUGGAGCCCUUCUGUUGUUUUUACCUUGCAUUCUUCUCCCACAUAUCCAGCUUUGAUCUCCAGCUUCUGUGUUGCUUUCGGUAUUGCCAUGCUUCUAGCAUGCAUGGUACCUGCUCUUCUUGUACAGAGCAAUUUUUGACAUGGCUGUUCGUAGUCGUAGCUAUAGUACUGGUACUGUUAGAAUUGACGUAGUAUCAGUAAGUAGAUAACACCUAUACAUGUAUAUAGCGUGUACUCAACUGUAUUGCGCACAUCAAUUAUUGAACCAUGCAUUGGAGCUUGCUCGAAGGGCGCGCGGCAUUGAUUGAAGCCGUUAGAAAACGUUGGUGGCGGUAGCAUAACGGCAUAAAUGUGGAGGUUUGUUGGAAGCAGCCAUGAUUGGGCAUGCUGCAAAGCUCGCGAGAGGCAUGGCGUGGUUGUCAUGUAUGGACAGAUUGGAGACUUUUGAGCAUUGUGUGUGGACCAUGAAUGCAUGUGUGCGUCCUGCCUCCCUGCCUGCCUGCCAAUCCCUCUCCCUUGCCAUUACUCUUGCUUACUCACGCACCCUCUCUCCCUGCACCAAUUGCUUUCUUUCCUACUGAAUCGCAUAUUUUGCACGGACCCUUUCGUUCAGCCCUGGGAGAUAUAUUGUCCAGAGCUCCCCUGCCUUGGCAUUCAGACAACAGCAACCUUGCUCGCUGCUCUAGCUUUGCUGCUAAACAUGGCCACCACGUCGCCGCCCAGGGCCCCCGGCCUGCUGCCUACUUCCGUGCAACCAGAGAGAUUCAGGCUUUCUGGCCAACGUCUUUUUCACUCUAACGAUUCAGUGAAAAACCUGAAAUUUCUACUGUUCGGUAUAGUUACCAUGAAACCGACCGAUAUGCGGUUGGACGCACGCAACGACUGGUGAGGAUAGUAGUAAUAGACCAGCUAGCUAGAACCAAUGAACAGAUUAUUCCGGGUACCUCGGCAGGCUCGGCUGGGCCUCUCUUUCGCCGGAAACAAACGCAAGAUUCUGGUUUGGAUUCAGGGGAUGGGCCGGCCACCGGCCACGUGAACAGAACAGUUCCAUCUUUUUCUGGCAUGAGCAUUGUUUUCCUGUCUCCCCUCUUCUCCUAUAAGUGGUCAAAAUGGAGAGAAGCUUUGGCCUGUACCUAACUAGGCAACUAAGGCAUAGCACAGCGUUUCACUUGCAGAUUGCAUUGAUGGCCUAAAAACACCAGGUUCGCUAGUCCUCAGACCCUUGAAUGUCAUCGUGUUAAUCAAUUUACUCACGAUUGGAUCGUCACGGAGAUCCGUACGUGCCAAUCCUUUUCCAUCGUCUCUAGCGAGGCCACCACAAUGCAAACGGAGGAAGUGCUGAUUAAUUGCGUUAUCAGACAGUGCUAAUUGGUGGGAUGCAUAAUAAUAAAAACUUGCCAGAUCCCAUUAUACUGAGAUGUGUGUGAAUACUUAUCUUACAUCUCGUUUGUCACCUAUCAUUUGCGCCUGAUAUCCUGAAUUUCAUUAUGGAUUACAACAACCAAUUUGCAUAGUUUGGCUGGCACAUAACUGGACACAUGCAUUUAUAAAAUCUGAAAUUUCACAGAAUCACACCCUAUAUCUAACCCCGGAUCUUCUCUAAGAGCCAUCAUUUCUCUGAAUUGUCUCAUUCUACAAAUUAAUGUGCAAAACAACAUGGAUUUUGAAUCUAGAAUUCAAAUUCAACAAAAUGAACAAAAUUUGGAAAUAAGGGUUGCCAAAUGGACAAUUACAGAUCCCCACAGAGAUUCGUUGUUUCUAUAUACCCAAAUACUUCAAGCUCAGCCCAUUACUCUUAUGGAGUACGCCCUCCGAUUUUAAAUUGUUGUCGUUGUUUUAGUUCAAAUUUAUACUAAAACAACGACAACAAUUUAGGAUUGGAGAAAUACUAGCUAGAUAACUGAAAUAUGUUAACUCGAAGUACCAAAAUGAUCAUGGGCGAUCGUAAAAAAAUGAUCAUGGGCGCAUUUUUUCUCACACAUUUUCAGGUUGUGAACUUUAAGAUGAAAUAAAGGCCAAAACAAAUACUCACGGGGCACACAUUAUAUUGCUACCAUGCCACCAUACAGGUUGAACAGAUCCCAUGCUAUCAUCUCCAACCAGAGUUCAUAGAAGUCCUCAUGUCAUGUUGCAGUAGGUACCAACGUAAAUCACUGCCUGAGGGAGGGGGACAGCAAGAUUCAAUUUUGUUUUUCUCUUAGACCCUUUCUUUCUUAUGCAACAAGCUGUGUAUUUUUACAUUUUGCCCCCUUAAUAUUUGUCUGUUCAUGCUUUUUUCCAACCUCCACCCCUGGAUCAGACCAAUGGGACACCUUAUGUAUAGCCUAGUUUAUUCGAAAAAUUGCCUGUUAAACACAAGGUCAUUUCAGCAAUUCAACAUCUACUAACAAACCUGGCUAAUGCUAUGAGAGAUUUCAGCAUUCGCCGGUCAGCCUAUCCCUGUAACCACUUUCCAAACUUAUUGAAAAUAUGACGAGACGGUGGAGAGUUAAAAACAACAAAGAUGACAAAUUUUAAAGCACUUCUAUAUACGAGUGUGCGAUGACAUAUAGCCUGGCUAGCUAACUAGUCUCCAACCAAUUUGAAUUUAUCUGGUGGAAGCCGACGAUUGAUUGAUGAAUGCAAGAGCGGGCGGGAGCGAGAUAAUACGCAUGCAAGUACUACAUACACAUGUGUCUACACUACUCUCGGGAGAAGCAAAUCACCUUUCCAACCCUUCUUUUUUUGGCCGGAUAGAUGUGUUUGGUAGAGACUAGCUAGAGAGGACCCGAUCGACAGGGCAUAUUUACUCAUGUUAGGUAACGAUGCAUGCGCCGGCCGGCCAUGCCUUCCCACGGACACCAGAUCGUUCGCUGCGUCCCGAACGGAGAUAAUCAGGGCAAGAUCGAUAUCUGCACCGGUCUAGUCACACAGUACCGCGCCUGCUGGUAUAUUGCCCAUCCACUGCACACACCUAUCUAUCUAGACUAUCCAUCUAUAUAUGCUUAUAUGCAUAUCUUAUGCAAAGAGGCCGAUCAGCGUCACGUCUCUGAACCACCCAUGUACACGCACAGGCGCACAGCUAUAGCUACCCUAGAGCUAGCUCCCUAGCUAGUUAGAUAGCUCUGGCUUUGCGUCGUUGGAACAAUUUCGGGCGUGUGAUUGCGUGUCGCUUUUCCUCAUUCAGGGCCGGUGCAAUCACCUUUGCUGCAGCUCUACUUGUGGAGGACGAGGAUGGAGUGGCUUGGCCAUAGCUCCUCCUACUAGCAACCUCCAGCGGCGUGCGUGGCCUUUGAAUGCUUGGCUUGGCUUUGGCUCUGCUGGGUGCAGGGUCGUGCCUCCUGGGUAAUAGGGUGUAUCCGCAUCUGUACUAACAUUGUCAAGUGUAUAUAAAUGGGCUUGCAGGUCUGGCACGUACUCAGCUAUCCGGACAGGCUAGGAGCUCAAAACUAUAGAUAAACAAUGAGUAGUCACGGAGACAGCAUUUUAUGGCAAUGGUAUCACAAAAAAAACAUAAUUGCGACUGACUUUCGCAGAUAACCACAAAAACUCUUAAAUAACUCUAUACAUCAAUUUGUGUAUUCUAAAAAAAUACUCUUAAAUAACUCAAAUUUAUCGGUUUAACGUGGUUAGCAGCUAUUUCCGACAGUUUGACCCACAUGUAAGUGACUGCGUGGGAAAAAAUUGGAACCUGACCAAACCAGCUGACUUAUAUAUAGCCCGGUUUAAAAACCUCCUCCAUAUGGUCAUUCUCAUUACUGUCUCUCCCUCGCCGGUCCUUAAGGUCUGGUUUCCGGUCCCCUGCGAGUCGGCAGGAAAGGGACCGAGCCCUCCUUUUGCGAUGGUCCUCGACGACGGGCUUCUCGGUCCGGCCGACGAGGGUGGCAAUUGUUGGCCGGGCUUCGGUAGGUAUGCCACCGGUGAUUGAUCAACGAGAUGAAGGAGAGAAGGAAGAGAGGCAAAAGCCCGACAUGCGUCGGAAGCGGUCAUGGUCAGCCACUAAACCGAAAGAUUUGAGUUUUUAGUACCUUACCAACUUAGGUGAGUUAUGUGAAGUCAUGUGUUGGAACUUUUUUAGUAAUAGAUAAAUUCACUUUUAGUCGAGACAAGAAUUAUGAGAUGACGAGAGCAAUGAAAUUAGUCACACGUGUGAUUUUGUGCUACCUUGUCACAAAAUUUUUGGUGUGAUGUUUACUUUUUCUUUACAAAACAAUUGCGAUUGAUAUGGCACUUAAAAUCGAGUGAACGGAGCCAAGAGCUCAGUUCGCUCUUUCUCUAGAUAAAAAAAAGAUACUACCUAUUUAGCGAAAAUGCAUGUUCAGUGUGAAUUUUGCGAAACUAAUGUGGAUAGCGGUUCAGAUCAAAGGUGCUUCCAGAAGUGUACGCAUUAUCCCACGUGUGUAUUGAAAAAAGGCUGUGACAAUCCAAGCGACUGAUUUUUAAGCAAAAUGUUUAAAUCUUAGCUGAAGUAGCAGAGCCGUCGGAUUAGCAUCUCGACGGCUUCGUAAUCCUUUCUUUCUUUCGUUCUUCCCCUAAAUCAUAAAGCAUGAUCCAGAUUUAACGACCGAGCAAUCAAUUGUCCCUGACUGCAAAUGAGGAUAGCAAAACCGUGAAAAAAAAGAUACAAAGACAAUAUAUACUCGGUGAUACGAUGGAAACUAGGCUGUCAAAAUUAAACAAUGGAAACUAGCACAAAUGGUUUUCUUAUUUUCUUUCCCCCCGCCGGAUAUGCAGGAGUAACAUCGUAGCACUAGCACACAUCAGGCUUGUGCUCCUCUUAUGGAAACACGGGAACCAAGCAGGGAGCUCUCUUUUGGCACAGUAUGGCACCACCGAGUCGACCACCAUCUCCACCAGUGACCAUGCCGCCAAGCAGCUAGCGCUUCGCCCUCCGGUCCAGCCAGCCGCACCCGCACCCGCACGGGCAGCUUCCUUUCUUUCUUUCCCACGGCCUCUCUCUGCCCGCUUUGGCCGCUAGCGAGCGCCUCUUUCCGCGCGAGAGAGACCGGCCGGGGCCGGGGCCGGGUCACGCGCGUACGUAACGUACGUGCUCCAGCAUCAUGCGCCCGGCCGGUACGUCUCCUUCACUGACCCAUUGGCGAUCGAGCGCACGAACGCGCCACUGUGGCAGGAUCAGCAGCACUGCUCACCCACCGGCCCGGUCUGCCUGGCGGAAAAAGAUUCGAUUAAUUGCCCUGAGCCCCUGACCGCCCGGGGGAUCCAAACGUUUGUUGUUCCUUCGAUCGGCUCCCCUCCCUCUAGUACGGAACACAAGUGCACGCACGUACGUACUUACGCGAGAUCGACCGAUGUUGUAGUACUUUACUACAAAGCAAAUACAGCACGACCACUCGUGUAUCAGCAGCGGUACAGCACAGUACGUACGUCUCUGUGCCACUACUUCCUACUGUACGUACGUACUACUACGUGCAACGCACACGUACGUGCUGCGGCUGUAGGGCCUGCAAGAGGGUUGGGUUGAAUUAAUAAUCGUCCGGCCGGGUUUGGACAAGAGCUAGCGUUCGUGCGUGCGUGCGUGCGCGCUCGCUGCCAGGACUGGUUCACAGGCCGCCGCACAGUUUGAAAAGAAAGGUGCCUGUAGUCGUUGCAGCUGGGCUCCUUCAGACAGACAGACAGAGAGACGGGCACACCGGCCGGGCGGAUAGCUUGCUUGCAUGCAUGUUUUGUCAAGGGGAUCAGGGAGUCAAGCAACCACGCCCCGCCCCUGCUGCCCUGCGUACGUGCGCUCUUCAUUUAAGAGUGAGAUUCUGCCUGAUCGAUCCGUCCAUCCCUGGCUUUGCUUAAUCGUUUUGCCUGCCUGUAUUUCCAUGUGCCAGGUACGUACCCAGGUAUUUGAGCAGCUACGAUCUUGCGUUGCAUGCUAGCUUGAUCAACCAAAAAACAUAUCAUUGUACCCGUAUCUGGCAGCAAUAAACAAAAAAUAUAUCUGGCGCAUGUACAUGAACAUUCAGACGUACCGGUUCCUUGCUGCUCACAGAGUGGGAGAGAGAGAAUGGAUGGAUGCGUGUGUUGUGUCCUUGCAAACCAACACACAUGUGGUGAGAUGACAUCUACACGUGCGGUGGGGGCUCUCGAUGCUUUGUUAAACUCGGUGAAAGCCAUGAGCGAUGGCAGGCGGUAGUAGUGGACAGCUGGGACAGUGACAAGCCUAGCGGUGCAGUAAAUAAUAAGAUCUUCUGCACCUCUCGUUUUACCGCACCCAACACACAAGGCUGCCAGCUGGUUCGUAAAUUUCACUGCCCACAUCUCGUCCAUGCAUGCAACAGGAAGAUUAGAUUACGUCGCUCGUCGGUCCUCGACUUGAAAUCUUGAAUACGUAGAGGACAAAACGGCAUGUCGAAUUAAUACGGUGUACCAGCAUGUAUGGGUAGACAGACACGUAUUCAUGAGUGUAUAAAGCAGAGUAUGAUGUUGAUUUCUCUGUACGGUUGGAUGUUCCGACGACCGAUUCCUGAUGAGUUAUAACUUAUACCAUGCCAACGGUUUGCUCCGGCCAACCCGCCGCGCGCGUGCAUGCGCGGUCCCCCAAAAGACCACGCAGCUCGAUCGAUCGCAACCUUAAUUCCUCAUACUGAUAAAUCUCCCUCUCACGCACGGGUUCGUACGGUUGUACCAUGCCAAUUAGGGUUGUGUUAAUGUGCUAUCUACAUCGGGCACACCAGUGCUUCUCCGGUUCGCAGCUGUAGCAGUACUACUCUCUCCGACCCAUAUUAUUUAUCUCAAAUUUGUUCAAAUAUAAAUAUAUCUGUGCUUAAAAAAGUCUGAAUACAUGUAAUAUUUCAUCAAGUAAUUUCGACCGGAGGGAACAGUAAAAGUUUGGCUAGUCUGAAUGAUCGAUGCUAAUCUGAGGACGUUAAUCAUUAUUGGCCUUAACGAGAAUAAUGUACUCCUAUUACACUUGUAUUGGGAGUGGCUUUACUCGGCGGCCCACGCCCGUAGGCACCGGCGGCCGUGCCUCGUCAUCCACGGGCAGGCGCCACGACGCGCAUAAAUAGCUGUCGGCGACCAGCGCGCAUGCACAACACCCCGCCGCGCGCGCAGACGAUCCCUCGCCUCGCCUCGUCUCACCAUCUACGGUCCUCCAGCUAGUAGCUAACCUAUCCAACAGUAAAAGGCAAAGCUCACACUUAGACGGGAGUAAAAAGAGUGCGAGUGAAGUGAGUGAUAGAGAGAGAGGCCUAGUAGCUGAUCUAGCCGUGCGUGGGUUCCUUUUAAAGUAAAACGAGCUUACAAGCUUGUGCUCCCUCCCGUCCAUCUCCUUCCUGCUGCUAGCUAGCUGCUUCCUCUCCUCUCUCCUCCAAGCUCCUUCAACUGGCCAGCCACUCACUAGCUAGCCGUGUCUUAGAUUGGUUGGGCGCAGCAAGAGAGAGUAAGGACUCGUAAUAGGUUAGCUGGGAUCCAUGCCUUGCUCGUCGGUGUCUCCUCCGUGGCUGCUCCGCGUGGCGGCCGAGCAGGCUGCAGCCGCAGCGUCGUCGUCUUCCUCGUCGACCAAGGGCGGCGGGCGCGUGCUCACGGCCACCAUGGACGACACGGGCGCCACCACGGGAGCCGCCGGAGGAUACAACAACAACGGGCAGCAGGAGAGCUGCAGCAGCGGGCAGUCCUCGAGGCAGCAGCAGCAGCUGGCUGCCCGCGGCCACUGGCGCCCCGCCGAGGACGCCAAGCUCCGCGAGCUCGUCGCCCUCUACGGGCCCCAGAACUGGAACCUCAUCGCCGAGAAGCUCGACGGCAGAUCCGGUAUACGCACAUCAUAAACCCCGCCGCGCAUUCCACUGACCCACGUCUGUUUAACUUAUUUAACUUAUAAAGUUUGUUUGAUUGUAAUAUGGGCCGGGCAGGGAAGAGCUGCAGGCUGCGGUGGUUCAACCAGCUGGACCCGCGGAUCAGCAAGCGGCCGUUCAGCGACGAGGAAGAAGAGCGGCUGAUGGGGGCGCACCGGUUCUACGGGAACAAGUGGGCCAUGAUCGCCAGGCUCUUCCCGGGCCGCACCGACAACGCCGUCAAGAACCACUGGCACGUCAUCAUGGCCCGCAAGUACCGCGAGCAGUCCACCGCAUACCGCAGGCGGAAGCUCAACCAGGCCGUCCAGCGGAAGCUCGACUCCUCAUCCUCCUCUUCCGUCCUGCCGUUGUCUACAGCCGCCGCCGGACCAGGAGCCGGGCACGUCGACUUCCAACAGCAGCAGUUCGACUACUCCGCCGGCGCCGAUGGGUUCAGCUUCCGGCACUACUGCUUCCCGCCUUUCCACGGAGGCUCAGGCGCCGCCGCCAUCGCUGCAGCCUCGGUCCAGGAGCCUUCCUUCUGCCUGUUCCCCGGUGAGUAACUGCAUUCGUUCGUUCGUUCGUUCCCGGCUGCUGACACUGACUGGUGGGCUCUCACACAAACUCCCUGCUGAGUGCUGAUCGAUUAUUCUAGCGGACCGAGCUUUGCUCACCGUCCGCUGACAAGCUUUCCCAGGCGCACGCACACGCACACCGUGCCGAUCAACUCUCUCAUCCUAUUCGUACGAACCACAUUCUACUGUAGGUCGAUCGAGCCGGGUUAACGGAGCCCCGGUGCUCGGGUCCCUUAUUGGUACUACACGGUAGUACUAACACGGCCGGCCUCAGCUGUUUCGUUGCUUACCCUGCCAGUACCUCCACCGGCCGGCAGCCGAAUAAAUGCCCUUGCGUCAAACAUGCAGCAUGUGGGGGGGAGAGACGAUGGAUACAUAGAUAGAUCGAAGACCAGGUACUGGCCGGGAAGACUUGGACUUCCUUCCUCUCCCCAACGGCGCACGUACAGUGUUCGUUCGACAAGCAGCUAGUAGCACAGUGAUCUCGCACACGCGCGCGUACAGGGGUUUGGCAGAGAUCAGGCGAUGGCGUACACGAGCCGAGCAGUAAGCUUUCACCCAACCACUGACCAGUAGUAGUAGCCCGGACGGACGGACGGACGGACGGACACUGUGGUGGAUGGACGGACGGACCGAUAAAACUUGCCACGGCCGUGCGUGGAGGAACAGGGACAUGGGAGGAACAGCGGUAUGGGCGGGGAGAUCAUCUGCCGCAUCAUAUCGAUCCCCAUAAAUGCCCCCACCACCCUCUUAUUUCCUCACCUGUAUAUAUAAUGCCUUCUCCUGUUCAUCAACUCGCGUUUCUUUCCUUGAUUUCUCACUUCCUCGAUCGGUUGAUGUCGUUGGAGUUUACUACCGUGUAAAAGGGUCCAAGUAAAGUAACUGUAAAACUAACGCGGUGGUUCUUGAAUCUUGACUUCUUGUUGUGUUUGACCGCAUGCGCGCAGGGCCCAGCGCGGCAUUGGUGCACGACGGGCGCCUGAUGACCGGCUGGGGAGGAGGUGAUCAAGGGAUGGGCCUCGCCCGGUACGGUGAUGCUCCGCCGCCGUUCCUGCUGCCGGCGUCGCACGGCGGCUGGAUCGCCGGCGGCGGCAGCCAUCAUGAGUUGGCGCGGUUCAUCUCCGACGAGGCAAUAAAUGGACCGCCGGCGGGCGCGGCGAGGGAUCAUCAGCAGCAGCAGCAGCAGCAGGGCGCGCACUUCGACUUCGACCAGGCCGCGGCGUCGCCGACAUUCAUAGAUUUCCUUGGGGUCGGCGCCACAUGAUCGAUCGAUACACCGACGCACGCACGCAUGCAUUGAUCCAUCGAUUCGAUGCAGAUUUAUGCUCUAUACUUAUCAAUUAGCACAAGCGUGAGUGCAUGCAUGCAAGCAGGAGGUGGAUCUAGCUAGGACGGGUACUAGCUCUAGCUUCUAGUUAGCUCGCUGUAAAACUACACAUGCUUGGCAAGCUUGCAGUCUUAGUGCUGCUCCUCGAUCUAGCUAGAUAAAAGCUGCAUGUGUAGUAUAACUAGUAUAGGUAUGUUCUGUCUGAGGUAGAUCAAGUUAGGAAUUUGUAGCUGGCCAAGGUUGUGUUUGAUUUGGAACUUUUUGGUGGAGGAAGGAGCAUGAACUUUGAUUAUUUGGGAUUUACUAGCUCUAGCUCCAUAUGAAUAACGCAAGUCUUGCAUCUGAUGCAUAAAAUGAGCUUUGUUUGAGCUUUAGCUCUAGAGGAGUACUGAUUAAUUCUUUUGGUCCUUAAUUAGUUGGUCAAUUUUAUUGGGAGGAUCUAUUUCUCAAUCGACUUUUUAGUCGUUAAUUUCUUACUAGUCGACAAUCAUAACUAUCUGAUUAAGAAUUUCUCGUCUUUGUACUUGCAUGAAUUUUAGGCAAGAGACGGUUGUUUAGUAUCAAUUCAAAAAUAGUUAUUUCUUGAUCGUUUUAGAAAUUAAUAGCAAAAAAAACGAUUUAAUAAUUGCCCAAUGUAGAUGACAAGGGACCGGCUACCUGUAGCUAGAUGUGUGGACUAGUACUGUCAGUACAGUCUAGUCUGCUGUUACUGCUUCUAACUAACUAAAACUAAUACUGUUAGUUCUUUGAGACUAUUAAUUGCACUCACGUGUGAUUUAAGAUCUUAAUGACACACGUACUGUUCGUCAUACUCAUGCUGAAAUGUUUCCUUCAAUUCAAAUUAAAGGUUGUUAUACAGAGAGGAUGUUUAUCAAUUUUUUCCCGCAAAGUUUAAUUUUAUGCAAAGCUGUAGUAUAAUACGUACUCCCGUUAGGUUACCUGGCAAAAAGUCACAACAUGCAUGUAUCUAGCUACUAAUGAACUUUCUUAAUUUAGAUCUUGAGUUACAAGGUAACCCUGAUGGAUUGGGUGGGCCGGCUGUGGAGCUAGCAUUAAUUAUUGUCCUGUGUUAGUUUGACAAAAAAUCUAAGACCCAGCACUGCUCACAAGGGAGAAAAUUCGGCACGUUCUUCUCUUGUGUUUGUUAAUCUAGCCAGGUGUUCAUUUUCUGAAGCGACUUGUGUUGUUCUAGCUGGUAGUAGUACAGUACGUGUUUGUAAUAAAUUAUGGGAUUGUUUGCAUAUAUGCUAGCAAGAUUGUCAUGCUGCGCGCAGUUCGUAGGCAUUGAAUGAAUGCAGCCAUGGUCUCAGUUGAGUAGAAAGGGACUGCUCGAUUCAGUUGAGACGUCUCACAUCUCAGAUACGUACGUGUUUCAUGUCCAGGCGGGUUAUAAUGGACUUGUCUCUUUUAGAGAGUGAAAUGGGCUAGCUAUAACUACAAACGUAGCCUUCGACCGGGCCGCAGACCAACUGUUGCGAUAAUCACGUAGGAUCCAUCGAGUGGCUUUUACAUAAUUGGGGGUGCCAGAGCGCUACCUGUUAAUUUCUUAAUCAAGCCACAAAACUGGUAUACCUUCGAAAAGGUUGCAACUAAACCGAUAUAUAUUUUACUGCGCUAACGAAAAUUAAAGUUCCAAAUUUUGCACUAAAAUCACGAUAAGUAUUUAGAAACAGAUGAAAUAACGUGUAAAACUGACCAUUAGACAGUACAACCUUUUUUUUUUGUACAGGGCAACUUGCAUUUAGAGCCAAAAGAGCGCCGGGAGGUGAUCGGUGAACCCCUAUUUGCUACCUGUUGCGGCAUACUAUGCCGCACAAGGCCUUAGCACUAGCUUAAUUGGGCCGGACCGGUACCUCUCUUUAUGAUUUUGUCUUUGUUUCUUUGUUACUACCUUAUUCCUGGUCAUUUUCGUUCGUGCUUGUAUCCAUCAUUUUGCUUUAUUUUAGCCUUUUCUGGACUUGUUAACUUGCUCCACUCCGGUGUAAUAAAGGGAGGAGGUGUAUUCCGAUCCUAUGCGUUCCGUUUAUGGGGAACAAAAGUUCUGUCCAAGUUCUUUUGCCGGCCGGUUUAGAGCGGGAUCGAGGUCGAUGAUCGGUUGCACAAACGCUGAAACGCCAGUCGCCAACCUAUAUGUAGCGACAUGUAUAGCGUGUUAGAUGACUUGCUGUGAUCCCGUCGCCCACCUCCCGACGCUCUCUACAACAGAUCGUGUGUUACACCUGCAGUUAUCAUCUGUAAUCUAUAUAUACUUCAUGCACUGUACUCGGUUAAUGCAAUACAAGCAGUUCCUCUUCACAAAUUAUCAUAGCGGCCAUCGAAAACGAUUUGACAUGUCGGCCACAUGCAUGCAUCGCAACGCACGCAAAGGCCGGCCGAGAGCCAGCAUCAAAUUAACCCGUACGUACGUACGUGCUGGGAGGAACUAACACGAUGUUGAUCUCUACCGGCGCCUAGCUAAGCUAGCUUGUACGGUCCCUGCAUGCCGGCAAAUACGUACGGGACGUACGGCACACUCAUAAUUAACUCGCCGUCUCUUUCUUCCGGCCGGUGUCUAGAUGCUCGGCACGGCCGUACGCGAGCCACAACGGCGACAAGCAGCUAGCUAGCACGGCCACGCACUUGGUUAAGCUAGCACUUGUUCGCACUACAAGGUUUUCAUCCUUUUGCCACGGAAAUGUUAGCCACAAGAUGAAUUCGGAUGCAAUAGAUAGGGUAUACUGCAACAUUAUUCAGUGUUGGUUGCGAUAUGGGGUCUGGUGGUUGCAAUAGCGGGUAAUGUUGCAACGGAUUUGUAUUGUUGUGUUUUCAAUUAUUGGGGUUGCGAUAAUUAUGACAUAUCGCCCCGAUACAUGUUUGUGUUGCCUUAAGAUCUGCGUUAUUGCCACUUGUUAUGUAAGGGUUGCAAAAGAGCAUUUGGUACAGCAACAAUUGUUGGGUGUUGCCAAGGACCUAUUUGAUAUAACAACGCCAAUGGUACCUGCUGCAAAAGGAUUUUCUAUGGCAACCAAUAUUUCCUGGUUGCGAAUGACCCAUUAGAAAUAGCAACGUAAAGCUGAAUGGUGGCAAACGCUUAUUGGAUAUAGCAACCAAAAUCAGAAUCGAUGCAAACGUGCCAUUAGAAAUGGCAACAUGACGUAGUCGUUGCAGAAACAUAUUUUUUUUAUAGCAACGCAACCCUUAAUGGAUGCAAGAGAGUUUUCGAUAUAGCAACCAUGCUCUUACUGGGUUGCAACAAUCGGAGUUCCAUUGCAACACAUGUAAGCGGUCGCUAUUUGGUAAGGCAAAAAAAAGAAAAAAUCACAACCCUUUUUUUUAUAUGGGACCGAUCGGGUUCUGGUGUCCACCAAGUGGAGAACCGGCGGGGAGAUAACGGAGACAGGCGCAGUGUGCCGGCGGAAUUAUGAAUUAGUUGCACGUUUGUGAACAUGACAUUAAUUUGAGCUGCGGAGGCACAUAUUUAUAAUAGAAUAAUAUAUUUUUAUAUAAAUACUGUAAAAAAAUAAAAAUAUGCUGCCAACAAAUGAGACUUCAUGAAACAAAAGCAACCCAACGAUACUGGAAUUGGUAGGUCCAAUCUGUCAAUUCCCGUCCGUGUUUGCCGGAAGCCCGCAACUGGCCCAGCCCAACCGACGCACAACCCAGUUGAAACAAAUGUUCAAGAACAGGCCCAACGAUGUAAAAAGGAUAAAAAAAUUGUUUUCACCUCAAUAGCAAGCAAGAGUUGAUAGCUCAGGUGGCUAGCAGGUGCAUCCUCAUGGGAAGAGAUAGGUCGUGAGUUCGAUCCGGUUUGGCCUAACCGUCCGGUUCGCCGGUUUUCAGUAAAACUGCCCGGUUCACCCGGUUUUCUUCGGUCCAGUCGCCCGUCCGGUCCAACACCCGGUUCAUUUUUCCAGAACAGCACACACGAAGGCACGCACACAGCCUUGCCUAACCCUGACUAUACAAUGUGUGUCCAACACCUAUUAGAAUUGCUCAUGUGAGUAUACCUAGAUGCAGACUAGAAUUUGUGUCCAACACCUAUUAGGAUUGCUCAUGGUACUGCAUCUAUAUAUAUUGGACAAACUUGCUUGUAAUUAAACAGCAACCCAGAAAAUCGAGAGGAGAAGAAAAGCAGACGCACGUACGAUACGUGAGACGAUGCCUCCUGCAGGCUUACGUAUUGUACUGUACGAGGACACCGAAGCUGUAAUGGCUGCUAGUCUUAUGAGUAUUUGUGUUGUAGGCUGUAAUGGUUAUUAGUCUUAUUUGUUAUGGACUUAUUAUAUAAUGUUGUACACAUGCUUUACUUGUCAUCUACUUGUCAUCUUUUUGCAUACAUGCUGCCUAUUUUUUUCACCGCUAACGAGCUUAACAAGCCCCCGACGAGCGCUCGUGAGCAGUAAACGAACUGAGCCGAACAAGAUUUAAUGUUCGUUAAGGUUAACGAGCAUAAAGAGCCGAAUUCUUAACGAGCCGAGUUCUUAACGAGUUCUUAACGAGCGAGCUCUUAACGAGUGAGCAUGCUCGUUAGCCAGGCCUACUUGUGAGGGCUUACAACAACACAUGUGUGCUAAAAAAAAGGAUGGUUAUACCUGGGACGAAUGAUUUUUAAGCAAAAAUCUUAAAUCUCAAUAAAUGCAUUAUAACCAUUGGGUUAAGAUCCGGUUGCCAUCCUCGCUCGCUCCUCUAACACGUGUUGUACAUCAUUAUAUUACUCUAUUAAGACUCAACGGACCAGCACGUCGACCUAUCUCUAACUAAAAGCAGACGACUUCUUCUUAGCAAAUAAGUAAAAAAAAUAGUUUUUCAGGUUUGAAGCUUCAAGCUUUGGCUAAAAUUUUCAAACUGAUCAAAAAAAUACUUUAAACUUAUCGAAACACAAUCGGUCUUCUGGGUGGAGACGAUCGACAACAGUCUCAUCAAGCCGGCCAGCAGCUUCGUUUUCUCGUACUACUGUUUGGAAAUGAAGCAAUGAUCAUAAGCUCCUUUCAAAAUAACACUUGCGUGUGGCUGAAAUGGCCAUUAGCCUAGCUACUCCUCAAGCGCUGAGCGGUCGACGCUGCUGUGAUUCGCGCCGGACCGACAUCUUCUGCCUCUCGGGACUUCUCCUUUUGUUGCAGGCCCGCACGUGGUGGCGUGACUGACUGACUGAUGGAUGGAUUGCAGGCGAGUUUGGCCAUGCGCACGGACGCGCUUUCCAUCGAGUUGCCCGUACCGUGUCAGCCAGAAGGGGCCAGGAUUAUUAUUGCUAGCUAUAGCAUCCUUUUUUUUUUUCUGUUUGCCGAGACGGACGUGACAAUAGCGCCUGACCAGCCGCGCAGGGGAUUCUUCGCUGCGUUGUACGUACGUUCCAUCGCGUCCGUGCGUGCGGCACCACUGUUGCCACGUUCGUGCGUGACGCAAUGGACUUAUCCGUGGCCUGGCCGGCCGUGUUGUCACGUACGUGGAUCUAUCUACUAAUGGAGCGGCAGCGCUGCCAUAAGUAAACAGCAAGACUGGCCGGGGACAUUUCUUCCGCCUUCCUCCGUGGCAGCACCGGUGCUAUCUUUCAGAAACAGCAGGGCUUUGGGGACUUCCGCUGUAGUUACCCAAGUCUGGUCAGGAUCAGGUUACCGGUAUUUAUGUUGGGGAUACUACAGGGUUUGGAGGCGUCAUGAGUCCUCUGAAAAGAAAAUCUGAAUCGCACCUUCUUCUUUUUUUAAUCGAGUUGUGGAAAUGUUUUAUUACCAAUGUAUUUAUGUCUCCGAACCUGGACCUGUUGUCACGAACCACGACCGUUGGGUCAAUCUCAUCGAACCAGUUAAAAAAAUGAGUAAAAUUAGACAUGUAACUUUAGGAUAUGUUUGGUCCGUAACUAGUGUUGCCACAACUAAAAUUAUGCAAAGUUUGUCUGCCACAACAAGUGUAGUGAAAAAAAUGGCUGGCAAGGUGGAUCAUAUGGCCAGAAAAGUAUGGCAAUGAACCAAACAUAUCCUCAUGUAGUCAUGUGUUGUGGCCUGGCUAAGAUUAGAUGCGGCCACAUUUUAACCCCAAACCAAACAAGCCCGUCAGAAACAUGUGGUGUUCACCAGUAAUACAAAACCUAGCGAUCGGGUCGUUCCUCAAUACUGUAAAACCAGAUGCAUUUCUUCAGAUGGGAGAUUCUCGGGGGGGCGUCUGCGGCGUGCAGCCACACCUUUGUCGCGGGUGGCUUUUGAGUCCUACCACAUCAGGUCUGUUUGGCUGUGGCCUGUGGGUGCUGGCUGCCAUAGCGUACUUGUUUGCUUGUGGUGCUGGCUUACUGGUUUGGCACUUUGGCUGGCGCUCGGUACCGCUGGAUGUUUUGGUUUAUUUCCUGCAAGGCUGCGAACUCAUACACUUGGUUUUCGUUAAUGAAACUGGGAACCCUUUAAUGGAAAAAAGAGGUGGUUUCCGAGUCGCUUGUCUUUUCCCGAAUUGCUAAUUAUAUCACAAUGAACAGAACAUAUGAUGAAGUCUGAACAAUAUUACAUAUGGGCUCAGCCCACUUGAAAAAAAGAGAGGCUAUGCUUGUGUGUUUGAAGCAAUAAAUCCGGUGAUCCAGUGAGAACAAUGCCUGUCUAAAUUCCAAGCUGAGUUCACCGUGUGAAAUAACAAAUUUUCCUACAUCAGAAAGUACACAAAGUUGUCUUCAAGAUUGAGGCCAUCCUGGAACUCUCUGUACUGUAGAGGAUUCUUUUGAGGAGAUGAUAUCUUGUAAGUCCUGUGGUGAUAAUAGCUUUGUAGAAGGCUCAAAGUCAUUAUCAUGGGAGAGCGCUGUUUCUGGCCCUGUUUGUUGGAUUGUGAAGUGCUCGCUAAGGGCGGCAAUUAGCCCUUCGGUAAAAACUGACCUUGAUGGCAUAUACUCGUUCAUGCGGCAUAAGAAAUCUGUGUGGUUCCGCGCCUGAAAAAUAUAGGAGCCAUUUAAUUUGGAAAUCGUGGGAUCAAAGCUAAUCAGUCAAACUACACAAGCAUUUUAUGCAAGCCAGACCGUUGCAGCCAAUACUGGUGAUAAACCAGUAUGCACUACUCAACUCACUGCUUUCAGCUAGCUACUUUGUUCAAGUAUCCCCAAAGAAACGCUUACAUUGAAAUACCUUGAAUCAUUCACACUUCAGGUUUCAAUACAGGUAAAAUUGUAAACCGCAAUCUCACUCUUACACUUUCUUACUGCCUCUCGAUGGAACUAUCUUCUAAAAUUAGAAUUAACUGAUUAGUGAAAGCUGUUCCUGGGUAAACUAGGACAACGAUCGCACCAAGAUUUGGACGUGUAUCUAUUCUAAGCAGAAAUUUCCAUAUUCAGCAGAAUUCAGCUGUCACUUAGGGUACAAUAAAACCACCUGAUCGAAAAACAUCUAAGUAAUCCACUGCCAGUUGUUCAGUGGUUUACAUAGCCUGUCAUCCUGAGCUGUUCAGGAAAUAGUAGGAAAGAUAGCCACUGGCCAACUACUCAUACCUCAACUUGAUUCGCUAUGUUUGUGGAAAUAUACCAACACUGAUCAACCUUAAAUUUGAUAAAGAUAACAAACCACAAAAACUGAUAUCCAGACAUACUAGCCAGAGUUCAAGUUUAUGAAUUCCACGAUCUGUUUAAAAGGUUAAAACUUUAAUGAACUGGUAAUUGAUUGGAGGAAAAAUAUAACGGAGAGAACUUACAAGCCGAUAUUCAGGAGCACGUUUUGGGUUUUUAAGAUAAUUCAUAUUUUUGACGUCAUAAUCCCAUAAGAAUGAUGUGUGAUGUACCCAACGAUCUUUUGUUAUGGACUGAGCAUUUCCACCAAAUUUUCGAUGACUAAAUGCAUAGUCUGCAAAUAUUAAGACAAGUUUAGUCUUCAAAAAAUAUGCAGAGCAAGAACAUUACUGGCAUCCCCAAGUAUUCAUUCAAAUUCAUAUACCAGAUCCAGGAUCAAUCUUUUAGGAAUAUAAUUUCAAAUUUGGAAUGAGAUAUGCUAAAUAGACAUAGUAUCAAUAGAACUAGUAGAAAAUGACCCAUUCAAUUGCUUUGAGAAUCCUUGCAAAACAAUACGUAAAUACAAAAGGACUAUAACAUAUUGACAGAGGAUGUUUAAACUUUGAAAUAACAACUAUAUGUUUCAACGAAAAUUAGAUUUUUUUACUUGCAUGAUAUGUGAUUCCACGGCUCUCUUGUAAUCAGUGCAAUGUAAAGUUGUAGGUUAUAGAGACAAGUUUAGUGUGCUGCAACUGGUCAAUAUUCGAUACAUGGGAAAUGGGGAACCCUGAGCCAUCUAGAGACCUAAGUACAAUCAACAAAAAUAGUAUAAACAAUAGAUAAAAAUAGUAUAACAGGAGAGAAGAUGAAACAGAAACUAGCGAUCAGUGAUGUACACCACCAAUUAAAUGUUCGAGACAAUGCAUAAUCAAAGGCAUGAUCGAGCACGAUGAAGGUUCUAGUUGACUAAUAUCAAACAAUGAGACUGACAUUAAACUGGAUGAUGGUGAAAUGCUGUGCUGAUUUGACAUACCAUUUUCACGCAGCUGAAAUUCACCAAACCCGUGGAACACUUUACCAUAUAGCUGGCCUGUCCAUGACAUGAUGUCGCGAGGAAACGGCUGCAACCCAGUGACAGCAGUCUUAUUGCAUAUGAAGGUCACGAACACAGUUCCCUGAUCAACAAUGACAGUGCCACCUCCACUGAAUCUCCUUACAACUGGCACGUUAUCCCGAAGAACAGGCUCUACCUCAACAAGUUCAGAGACUUUCCUGUCGACAAGGAAACCACAUUAACAACUGAACUUCACUAGGCACACACAAACGAAGGAAAAAUGCUGAUGAAACCAAGAUGAUAUACCCGGAGACACCCAUGACAAUGGUGGGAGGAGCCGUGCCGUCAUUGACAAUACACCAGUUGUCACUGGUGCGACGCAGCAACCGUUCUUCCAGGUGCAGCUGCUGCAGGAUCGGUGCGCCGCCCAUGCUUAUCAGCCUCAUGAGCGGCCUUUGCACGUUCCUCUCGACGACGGACCCAAAAGCCAUUAUUGACUGUAUGACGUCAAACUCACGGGCGGAGGACCCAGUAGGGCAACCGCCCUACCUUGUUUUUCGACUCAGUUACGAAUUGGGGGAGAUUAAGGAGGUCAAACGGGGAGCUAAAGGGCGGUUCGUGGGGCGAUGGGAGGAGAAACGGUCGGGAGCAAGAGAAUCGAAGGGUAGAUCAACCGGCGGUGGCGGCGCUCGCGCGAGGACGCCGAGGAAGACGAGCGAGGGGGCUGGGGCGCUCGGCAGCGAGAUGGGCUAGAAGGAGGGAGGGGAGCGGCCCAGGAAGGAAAAGAAGAAGAAGGGAGACAUUGGGUGCGGCCCAUAUGGUCAAAGGGAGGCCAAAAAAUAAAGUUUCAGACAAAGUAUGUUGCCGAACACCUCGUGUUCAAGCUUUGACUCCUUCAGAUUCCCCUAAAAAAAAGGCUCCUUCAGAUUGCUACAGUGCAUUGGGGGACACCCAGCCAGGACCAGCUAAGCUCGGAGGCCAACAAUUGACUACCGUUCAAGGUUCAGGUUGUGCUACAGUUCUACUACAGAGUAGUUUUAGUUGGCAAACAGUUUAGGUAAACAAACGAUGUGUCGGUUGAGCUGAAAUUUGGUCAGGUUGUUGGAAACUCAUGUGUAUGCUUUGUCUUGCCAAAUUUCGUGUAGUUUGGACCAAGGUUUGUGAGUAGUUUGACAAAUUAUCGAAUGGAACAAAAUGUGUUGAUUCUGCACUUCCGUUGUCCUACCCUCUUGUGGUUGUUACUGUGGUUAGCGAUUUGUAAUGUUUUAGCGUUUGUUGUAAUCUAUAGAGGUUCUAGAGAAAAUUAUGUAUCAAUUUGCUUAUAUUGGAAGUUGCAUGACCGGUUGAUCUAAAACCAUGUGUUUUUUUUAAAAAAAAUACAUGUUUUUCACUCCUCACCUUGACAUUUUUCUACCUUAAAUCUAUGUGCAUCUUGAUUUCUUAUUUCCAUCGUUAUUUGUUGAUUGAAGCUAUCCUUCAAAUUUACCUUAGGUGGAGCGAAGAAUUGGUUUGUGUUUGGUGUCCUCUUGCAUACUUCAUGCUACACUGCUACCUACUUGUUACGAUUACUCUUUAGAUCUUAUGAAAUGACACCUAGUAGUAAAAAGGCUUCCUGAUAAGGAAUAUGCAUUUUUUAAACUCAAAAGGAAUUUAAUAUUUGGAACAAGUCAAGGAAAGCAGGAAUUUCAGAAUCGGAAGAGUAGAGCAUUCAGCAUUGGGUCUGGAUUAGCUAAUUUUUGUCAUCACCUGCUCCCUCCGUUCUGAAAUACAGGACAUACAUGUUUUUCAAAAUUUAACUCCGACAAACAAUUAGUACACCUAUACAUUUAUAUACUUGUAUUGUGUGAUAUACAAUUGUCAUUAUUGGCCACGUACAAAGGAACUUUUCAUUGAUAUCAAUUUUAUACUAUGAACUAAUCCAUGUAUAUAUAUUUAGACAAAUUGUUGGUCAAGGUUAAAUCUUGAAAAAAAACAUGUGUGCGCUAUACUUUUAACGCGAGAGUAAUUUUUUUGAAGUCACUUUAGCUAGGAAUUAAUAAUCUUUAAUUUCCAUAUCCGAGAAAUCGAGCCACUUGGAUAUAUACAAGCGCAAAAAAAAACAGUUAAUUAAUAAGCACAAUGCUAUUAGGCACAACAAAGAUCAUCAUCGUCACAAGAUACUACAGCACUGAACCAUCAGCUUCCUCUGUAAUGUACAUACCAAUCACAUCCACUCCUCGAUCCACCAUGCAUCCAUACACAUAGCAUGCAUAACACUAGCACGGAGUAGUACUUUACAACACAAAUUAAGUGCAUUGUCGACCAUUUCAACUAGAGAGACAUAUCGUCCCAUCAAUCAAUUUUACAUGCAUGCAUCAAUCUGCCUCCAGCACCAGCAGGCACACGUCGACUUAAUUAGCCGGAGAAGGUCUGGAUGAUGGUGUUGUGCCACGGGUCAGACAGGUGCUGGAACAGGUUGUCGAGCGGCCCUUUUCCGGUGACCGCGUGCUGCACCGAGAAACCCAGGUACGCCAGCAUCGCCAGCCUCCCUACAAAAUCACAAAACGACCAAUUAAAUUCCUUUUCCGUUUGAGAUCUGGCCGUAGGAACUACUCCAGUAACUGGAAGAAGGGCAUGUAUGUACCGUUGGCGAUCUCCUUCUCCUUGGCCUCGAGCGUGGGCGCGAAGUUGAGCGGGUUGAAGACGCUGCCGGGGUAUCCGCACUCGUGGGGCGGCAGGCUGUAGCUCUUGAAGAUGGGGUCCUGGUUGACGCAGCCGGGCUCCUUGAUGUCCUGCCACCGCCGGAUCUCCACGUAGUGGAACAGGAUGAACUCCACGACGAAGAGCGUGGAGGAGGAGGCGAAGUAUGUGGACUUGCCGGCGUCGUACCACUCGGGGGCGUUGAUGAGGCCGAUCUUGGUCAGCAGCUCCGGCGUCAGCAUCCCCGCCACGCCCAGCAUCGCCCACCGCCCGUUCACCAGCUCCGCCUGCACGUACCACCGCAGGUUCUCCGGGUCCUCCGCCAGCCCCAACGGGUCGAACCCGUUGUCACCCGGCAGCCUGCGUCAAAUUAAUUAAUAUGCAUGUGUGUAAGCACCACUGACAGUGUUCGUUAAAUAUUUGGCCGGUUUUAUUGUAUGGAAUGUGCCAACUUACUUGCCGUCGAGGUAUGCAGGGGAGGGGAGGCCGGGGAGCCACUCGCCCUUGGCCUCCACCCGGAG